rnacentral:lncRNA from 1 species
AGAGAGAGAGAGAGAGAGAGAGAGAGAUGUUGAAAGAGAGGGUUCAGCUACUCCGAAAUCCUGAGAGGGUGGAAGAUGGAUAACGUGCGGUCCAGCGAAACAGAAAGGAAUUUUUCAAAUCCAGUACCAUUCAAUUCCAACCUCCCAACAAAGCACUCAAACACAACUUGACAGCUACCCCUCUUUGAUCAUAUAUCUUUCUUUGAUCAUAUAACAAGUGUUAUAGUAUAUGAAUAAAAUGGUAACACAUCAAAGUUAGAGCUUAAUCAUAUACUCUCAAAAUAAUUAAAUACUUGCACAAAAUAAACUUAAGUUGAAAAUAAAUUUUAAUUAAAUUGAAAAAAAUUAUAAUAGUAGUUAGAUUUUUUUUAUUUUUGGAUUUUUUUUUUCCCUUGGUAAUUUGAUUUGAUACUAGGCAGGACGAAACCAAACAACAAAAAUGAGCAUUUACGAACCACAAUAACUUCCAACCCCCCAUCAAAACUAAGUCAAUUAGUAGUUUUUUUUUUUUUUUUUCGAAAGUAGAAGUUCACAAGAAUAUCCAUUUAUUAGUUGAAGUGUCAAGUAAAGAACAAAAGUAGCACAAAGAAGAGAGUUGUAUCAUCAUUUAUCUUAGGGAAAUUAAUCAAUUAAAAAAAAGGGAAAAAAACAGAAAAGUGCUACCUAGCAUGGGAAAAUUAAGUAUUUUUGAUAAGAUAUCAACUUGUAUGAAUGAUAACAAAUAUAUACUUCUCGUAGAAUAAACAAAAAAGACACCAAAAAACAUGGGCAGUAAAAUUGUAGCUUAUUAAGAUAAUUUAGCACCUCUGAUAGGAAUAAAAGCACCAUUAGUUAAGCGGAAAACAAAUACGAACUCAACUUGUUCCUCCCUAACCAUUUAUGCAUACAUCGCGAGAUGACUAGAGCUCAUAAGAAAAGCUAUGGAAUGUGCGUGCAACCGGGGCUCGACACAAUCGACCGAGACUAGGAAUCUCUUCUCGUGAUGUCGUGAUAGCUUGAGGUGUAAUCUGCAAUUAUCAUAAAAUUAUAUACUAUUGUUGUUUACUUCUUAGCCAUGAAAAGUAAAAAUGCACUGCAGAGAGACAAAGAAUCUAAAGCAGCACAGAGAAAGAAAUUCUAAGCCACAGAAGUUUUUGAGGGAUUUUGUUUCUGAAGUUGUAGAGCAAAAAUGUAAUCAAUUAGCUUCUACUUCUUGGAAUAGAGUAAGGUUUCCAAAAAAGCUAAAUGGGCAGUUACACACCCUGUUAGUUUGCUUAUCUAGUAUAUACUCUAGAAAACUCAACAUCCAGGAUCUAUAAAGAUUAUGCGCUUAUUACCAAAAUUGCGCUUCAGUUCACACAGAUAAGCCAACAAAAUAACUUCAUAAAAAUUAUAAGGAAAAGCAAAGACUAUGGAUCUUCACACCUGAGAUUGUAAUAUUGAGGGUCUUCUCUAGACAUAUAUGAAGACACAUCAGGGUAGUGUAGCUGUAGGAUAUAACUGAACCCAGGCAAAUUCCUCUUUGUACCCCAUGCUUGUUUCGCAGGAUUCUAAACAUGUGUAUACAACAAUAGUUGCCCAAUCAAGGGAAUCGGGAUCAUUUUUCACCCCGAAGUAAUAAAGCAACUGCGGCAUGAUCUGCAUUGAUAAAUCAUUCUUUAGGGUGUGUUAAUUUGAAUAUCUAAUAACAAUUUAGGGUAUUGUAGUAAAAUCUGAUUCGCAGGCCCAUAUGUAUAAGAGUAUCUAAUGCUGCAAGUAAAAUUAAGAAUUUUUUUUUUUUGAAGGAUAUAAACAUAAAUAGAAAAUUCGCAGCGGUAUAGAUGUAAAUCUCUUUUUAUGUUUACGGCCAGAGUUGCAUAGUGGAUAUGUGUAAGAUGAAAAUAUAAGCUAACUGGUAAAAAGGAGAAAGAAAGGUCUACUAAACCUGGAAUUCAUAGCAUAAUGGGCCUUUACAGUAGCUGCAUGAAGGUAUAUCUGCCUUAGAUGGCCGGCCAAUUGAUAAAGGCCACAGUGGUCUCGCCAUUGGAUCUCGGCAAUAUCUGUUCAAAAAAGGUUUUUAAGAAACUUGUAAUCAGCAUAUCCCAUAGUAGCAAAGAAAAAUCAUAACAAGAGAGGAAAAAGAAGAUAAUACGAAAUUGACCUUACGAGUACACGCGUAAAUUUCUAGGAACACCAAUUAGUUAAAAAGAAAUUCAUCACAGACAUUAAUCAUGUAAUGAUGGUUACAAGGCAUGAGAAUGCUUUCACCUUAAAACUUGCUCUGGUGCUCUGGCGAGUCGCUCUUGGAAAGAUGCCCAACUCUUUUUAUCAGCGUCAGCCUGCAUAUAGAUAUGCAGAUCUACAUAAAGCCAUGAAUCCAACUAUAGCAUUUGUAUGAACUCAAAUAUGGCGGAGGAAAACCUCAAAUUGAUCCAUCAACGACUGCACCAUCUCAUCUUUCUUAUUAUUAUCUGUUGGAACCAAAGAUGUUGAGCUAUUCUCUUCAGAAACCUCAGAAUUAAAAACAUAUUCCUCCUCAAUCGCAAUCUCAUAUUCAGGCCAUAAAGUGGUGCUCGCAACUGUAGAUAAGAGAAAUGUAUAUAGUUUAUUUCGAUAAUUUAAUAGCUUGAAAGGACAUAUACCUAAGAAUUAACAUUUUGCCAAAGCUUGAAGCUUUUCCCGGUUAUCACCUAGAGGAGAAUCAGAUGCUUCUGAACUGAUUAUACGACGGCAAUCAUUCUUAUGUCCUGAUCGCCAGUGCAACGCCUGAUAAAGAGAAAAUAAUGACAAAAUGAUUUCUCUUAUAAAAACAGAAAGGUAAAUGAAGAACUAAAACCAAGAAAAUACGGACAAAUAUCAUAUGUACAAACCUGAUGCUUCUCUGAACAGUAGCGUGCUUUCCUACAACUACUGCAGAGUUUCUCUCCUUUCCAUGUUCCGCACCAGCAACAAAGAGAAACUAGAGAAUCCAUCAUUAAAGCAAAAUGUGAAACCACAAAACUACAGUCUGUAUAAUUGUCCAUAAUUAACACAAUUGUACCGGUUUUUAAGAGGCCGACUAAUAUUUCCCAUACUAAGACAAGUUAACUAGAAAAUUUGCAUACCACAAACUGCUACCUUAAAGAAAAUCUUAAUCCCUAACAGAACAGCACAUAAUUUUUAAGAAAACCUCCUUACUUCGAAACAAAAGCAUAUAAUUUAUCUAUAAGAGAGGUCCUAAUUAUGGGUAGGAACAUAGAUAGGUAGGAAGAAAACAGUUUACAAUAAAGUGAUCGGAAUGAAAAAACAGUGUUGCGACAACAGGAAAUCGCCCGGCAAUCCUAAAAAAGAACCUUAAAAUAUAUUAAAGAUGUACAGAGCACUUAAUAGGCUACGCACAACAAAAGGGAACAAUAAUUACCUCCUGUGCAAAGUGGCUUGUCGGUGCCGUCACGCCUCGGUGGUUCGCUCGAGUAAAAUGGAUUCGUCCGAGGUAGCUGACAUCGGAAAACCUUCACACUUGAACAAUUUCGAGUAGGCAAAACCCAGGUCAGGCAACCAAAAUUAGACAAAAAACCAAUAAUAGAUUGACAAACAAAGAAAAUUAAAGUGCAAAAGCAAUGAUAAAUAAAAAUCUGAACAACCUUCUACAAAGAUUCCCUCCUUCACGCUUCCACUGUUCAUGUUGGUCUCGAAGAAGGCAUGACAUAGAUGGGCACAUGAAAACGAAUAAUGUACGAUGAAAGGUCGAUUUUUUCUCAGAGAUUGGAGCAUAAAUCUACAAAAUCAAUCAUUAUAUUACAACAAAAUCAAAACUUGAAUCAAAAGAAAAAAAAAAAAGGGUACUACCUGAAGAAGGAAUUGCAGAGGCUCUCCGCAGAAGCCACAAGUGCGAGAUUUCUCUGGCGGUAAGUUUACGGGAUCCAACCAGGCCUUAAAACAAGAAAAUUAUAAAAAAAUAUCAACAAAUAAGCAUGAAUUUCAGUAAAAAUAGAAGGAUUUAAAGGUAAAGCUCAACUACCUCCUCGCAAGCUCCCCUUUUUUUUCCCCUUUUUUUAAAUAAUUUUGGGCCAUUUUUGGCCCAACUAUAGGGUUUAGUGCUAUUGGAUGACACACAACUUAGCAUUAAAUCAAAAAUUUCUUAGCAAAUCUCUCUGCAGUAGAAGUUUAAGCAUAAAAUUGAAGCAUCUAAAGCACUGGACUUAGUAAACGCUGCACGCAAAAGCGGGGCCAAAAAGGCACUUAGUAAACAAAAAGAGGGAUUUUUACGGUUCAGGACAUACGGGAACCCCUCCAGCUUUGCUCGGGAAGAGAUGGCGGAGAAGCGACCGGGGAUUCUUGGGCUUCUCGACGAACCCUAGGGUUACUCCCUCAUCCUCUUCCUCCUCUUCCUCCUCUUCCUCCUCCACGUCGUCGUGCUCGACCGCUUCCUUGCCUUCAUCUCCUUCCAAGCCUUCCAUGGUAGUUAUUCGCAGUUUGCGGAGAUCCUCGAGCUCGGAAUCCAUUGUCGUCUGUAAUAUCCCCGGACUAUCCGCAACCGCCGAUGAUGAGAGCUCGCUGAGGCCGGUACGGCGGAGAGGAUAAUGGGAGCUUCUUGAUGGUAAUUACGAUGUAAUGGAUUGCCGGAAUGGAUAAGAGAGGAGCAGAGGGGGUUGAGAAAGAUGAAAUAGAGACGGUAGAGAGGAGAAUUAGAGAGAAAGGGGUUAGGGAUAGAGAUUAGAGAUAAAGAGUGGGAUAAGAAAUUGAAAAGAGAAAUAGUAGAGAAGAAGGAGGGUUUGGAGGAGGAGUUUUGGGGGAGAAAAAUAGACUAAUUUAUUCCCUUCUGCUCCGCCGAGCGCGCUCUUCCUCACUUGCUGCGGCCAUCAUUGCUGCUCCUGCUAUUGUAAAGUUGACAUUUUUACUUCCUUCCCUGCGUACUAUUAAACUACUACUACUGCUUCUACCAUUUAUUCUUCAGGAUUGUUACAUCGUCUUCGUCGAAUAUCAGGGGAAGGAGAAAACCCUAAUUUCUAAUUCUCUACGCCGUUCUCUCUCUAAAACCCUAAUUCCCAAUUUCCGGUCCACCCCUAGACCGGUCCGGUUUAGUCCCGAACCGGUUCGGUCCCGGUUUGGCGGGAAAAGCGCGCCCCUUUCCCGCCAUUUUCCUGCCCCUUCCCCCCCUUAUUCGGCCUCGUAGAUUCGUCUCCACUACACUUCUCCUCUCAAAGAAGCCAUUUUUAAGCAAAUUUACGUGAGUCGAAGCAUCUUUUUUUCUCAUUUAUUUUGAUUCUUUUUGGAAUGUGUUUGAUCUAUUUUUCUUCACUAUUUUGUCGAUCGGUGCGUAGGUGGAUUCGGUCAAAUCAUGGCGAAAGAGCGGAUUCCUAACGAAGGAGAUGAGAUGCAAAUUGAUGGUGGAGUUUGCGAGGAACGAGUGGCGAGAGCCAUUCCCGAAGGAUUCAACCCAGAUUAUCUCAAAAUUUACUACGGUGAUAAUCGAUGAUUAGAUGAAACAAUCAAUUUUUUCUCUUUUUUAUUUUCCUGUUUUUUGACAUUAUUUGUACUACUUCAAUGUGGAUUAUCUCAAAGCCUGCUACAGUGAUAAUCCAUGAAUCAAUGUAAUAAAACAUGGGUACUUAACCCAAUAGUUUGUGCACUUUCGGAAAAGAAAUCCAACUGACUCAUAGAGAAAUGGAAGAUGAGGGGAGAAAGGAAUUUGAUUGGUUAUUUACGACAAUAAGUUAUCUUUUCUAGGAAAAAUAAUUAACAGAUAUGCAUAUCAAAUCCUUAAGCUUUGACCAUGCAUACCUGUUAUCGAGGUAAAGUAAGUGACAAGUCUCGCAAUUUUGUUUUUGAUUUGUGCGAGCUGCGCGAAUUUGCUCAUGUUGUUUUGUCUGUGUUUGCACGAAGCCACGGUUUUCUGACAGUGAAUUUGUGCUAAUCUGUCACAGGAAAGCUCUUCCCGUAUGCCGAUAUGUUUAAAUGGCUGUCCUACGGAAAUGGUAUAUCACGUCUCAUAACGCGAAUUUAAAUGACAAUGCUGUUGUUUUAUUGGCUGUUCUAAUCUAUCUUGCCACGAUUUUGAUUCGGUUCUGCAGAUGGAAAGCAUCCAGCAUGCGAUCACUCCUACUUUGGUCGGCGUGAAUUCUCUUUUACUCUCGAGAAUGACAUCUACAUCCGGUUCCAGUCAUUUGGCAGUGCAAAGGAAAUGGAAAACUCGAUCAAGGAGAAGUGCCCUUUUAAGAUCGACAUUGGACCAGUUUAUAGCGUAGAUGUAUGGUGGAUGUGUUUUAAGCUUGAAUUCUGUAUGAUGGAGUGCACCAAUGGAUGAUGAAUUGUUUGCAAUCUAUACAGUUGAGGAUAAUUUUUUUGGCAACAAAAGAAAAAGGACUUAAUAGUAACUUAUUUUUGUAUUCUUUUCUUGAACAAGAUGUGUUUGCUAGCUGAUCAACAGUAAAAGAGUAGAGACGUCUAUUUGCUGAGUGCAUUCUAUCCUUAGAACUUUUGAGUUUCCUUAAAACAAAAGAUGUGGAAGUUCCCUUUUGUGGAUUUGCUUCAACAAUUUUUCCUUUAGUCAUUCUACUAAUCCUUCUUUUCUUUUUUUUUUCUUUUUUUUUGUUUGCAGCCUGCAAAACGGCAUGCCUAUGCACAAGGUGGAAAUAAUGUUUUUGCACCAGUAGAAAGAGAGCUUGUUUUUGACAUUGUAUGAUCAUUAGUCAUUUUCCGGGAUAAGAAUUAGAAAUAAUUUACUAUAAAUCGAGUUUAGAAGGCCUAAAUGCGCUCUAUAACUUUCACACUUACCAGGAUAUGUCAGAUUAUGAUGAUGUUCGAUACUGCUGCUCAGGAGCUGAUGUCUGCCUAGAGUGCUGGCCUUUAAUGACCAUUGCGAUCAAAGUUAUUGAUACUGCACUUAGAGGUUUGCUAUUUUUCAUUAAUUUUAUGAGGCAGCAAUUCUUUUAAUCGAUUUUAUUUCCUUUGUUAUGAAAGAGUAAGUUUUGUUUCAUUUUUUUUUUUCCUUUUGUAACAAACUUGUAGAUGAUUUUGGCUUCAACCAUAUCUUAUGGGUCUACAGUGGUCGCCGUGGUGUCCAUUGUUGGGUUUGCGACAGCAAAGCUAGAAGGUAUUCGAGAAAAAACCAUAAUGUAUUGUGUUUUUAUUGCUAAAGUUAUCUUAAGGAUAAUUUAUUUGGAAGCAACAAUUUUCAGGCUCAACAAUGAGCACAGGGCGGCAGUUACUGAUUACUUUCAUGUUUAUAAGGUGAUACUUCUACCUCACAAAAUAUACAGUCAAAGCUUCCGAUGCGCUAACUAAAUGGAAGUUUUCUAUCUGCUUGUUUAGGGUGGUGAAAAUAGUUUGAAGAAAGUGACCUUAGCAGGACCGGUUCUCUAUCCUUUUCUAGCGUAUGUCUUGUCUUAUUUAUGCAUGCAUAUUCAACACCUAUAUUUAUCUGAAAAUGUUAUUUGGAGUAUUUACUUCAUUUGCAGGAGGUCGUAUACAGAUGUCCUUAAGUCCUUUUUUGAAGAGAAACUACUUCGUAGCCAGAACCUGCUAGCUUCUGAAGAGAGAUGCCAGAAGAUUUUGGGAUUCAUACCUGAUGAAUGUAAACAAACAUACGAGCUAGUUGAUUGUUUUUGCUUUGAAGUUCCUACUCCAUUCUUCUUGAUAAGUUCUUCUCUUUUCAGCUGUUGCUGCGGAGCUUCUUGACAAGUGGCAAGGAAAUAGAAGAUCUUCCAUUUCCAAGGAAGAUGUUAAUGUUGUUCGAUGGGACCAAUUAAAGCAUAUGCUGCAGUCGGGAAAGCAAAAGGUGCAAUUGAUGGUUUGAUUGUAGCUUUUGAUGUAUAUGCCUUUACAUGCAGAUUCUAGGUUUCCUACGAUCUCCUUUUUGCUUUAUUGUCUUGCUUUUGUAGAAUAUACGUAAGCAUAUAGAGGGAGAAAUCAUUAAGCAAUGGUUAAUACAUACAUAUAAUUGGCGAUAUUGCUUAUAUUAACAAUUUGUUUAGGGAGAUUUGUGUUUAGGAAUAACUAUAUUGAACUACUGGAGAUUUUCUGAGAAGGAUGAAUUUGUCAGAAGGAUGUAAUAUGACCUUACAGUUUGUUGAACUUUGUGGUGUAUAAAAGGUAUCUCUUGAUGUUUUUCGAUAUAUCAGGAGCAUACAAUGUGAAUGGGUGAAUCCAAAGCUCUAUCCUCUAGGAACUAUAAGAUAAAUGAUCGAAAUUCACUAUUUGUACAUUCUCUGUUUCAUUUUAGUCUAUAAUGCUAAAAUUGUUUCAGAUUAAGUAGUAUCUUUGAGAUGGAUAAGAGCAUGGCGAGGUUAUAAAUUCAUAAAACCAAAAGAGCAUUUUCCAUAGGUGUGUGAGAGAAAAACUUCAAGGAUGUAGCACAAUUUGUUCGCAAAUUUGCAAUAGAAUUCUUGUUAUUUAUGUUUUGUUACCUUGUUGUUUUUGUUUUCUGAACUCAUUCUUUUCCUUCUAUUUUUGUUGUUUCAGAUACAGGGGCUCCGUCGGUGUGUAGAAGAGAUUGUUUUCUCAUAUACCUACCCUAGACUUGACAUGGAGGUCUGCAGACUAAUACCUUUCUCUCACAUCCUUUGGCUAUGUUAAUUUGCUCCCUUUCCAGUUCCUUUGAAAUGUUUUUUUUUUUUUCGGUCAGGUCUCGAAACACAUGAAUCAUUUAUUAAAGGCACCAUUCUGUGUGCACCCUAAAACAGGUAAGAAUUGAAAAUGUCUGCAUGGUAAUUGUGAGCUGUAACAGAGUGAACAAAUUUAGUUAGCUUGUUCUCAGUAGCAGUUAUUGCAAUGCCCUUCGCGAAGGUGAUUUUAUAGUGAUAACCGUUUUUCCUUUUGUAGGCCGCGUUUGUGUUCCAAUUGAUCCAAACAACUGUGAGGAUUUUGAUCCAACAACAGUCCCAACCCUGUCUCAUGUAUACUUUUGUUUACCUUAUUAUAAUUUCUCAUAUACUUAAAAAAGUACUGUCCACAUGAUAUAGAUACUAGUUAUAUUUUUUAUCUGUUGAUCUUUUUGUCUCUUUAAAAUAUGAGUGUCCGUUUUAAUCUCUUUCAUAUGGAGUCCGUGCAACCAGAAUUUGUUUUAAUUUGUUCUCCCUGAAGCUUUUGUGGCUUAUUACCGCAAUAGCUCUAUUUCAGAAAGAAAACAUUUUAUUUGCUACUCUUGUUGGUAAUUGUUCGCUUACUAAUGCUCUAUUAUGGCAAUAUGCAGCUUCUCGAAGAGAUUAAUGAGGGUUCUAUGAUGAUGGAAUCAAACAAUGGUAUGUAAACGGGAAUAACAUCUUGCUUUAUUACCAGUCUAAAGUAACUUUUCUCCACUGCUAUUUUUGAAGAACUGGGUUGAAUGCCAUUGAGCACCCAUGCCUUUUUCUUUCUGUUCACUUUUUUGUAUUACAGAAUGGGAAAGAUCGUCACUUGGGAAAUCAAUCGAGUUUUUCCGAUCAUCAUUCUUGCAGCCGCUGUUGAAGUCUUGCAAAGUAAGUUGAUUGCUGUUGCAUUUUCAAAAUUGAUUUCUUUCUUAAUCUCUUUGAAUCAGAGACAACAAUCAUGGCACCCUAAAGCCUAAACUUUGAUCAUUGUCUCUUACGCUAACUAUGUGAGGCUGCAACUAACCAUAUAUGGAUUCCAUAAUUUCUCACUCAGGUUCAGAAGCAGGAUUCAAAUUGGUUGAAUUGCUUCCAGUCCAAUCUAUAUCAACAGACUCAAAGCCACCUGAAAGAUUACACCUAUAUGUUAAUUUCUCUUAGAUUUUCCUAAUGAUGGUCAAUAGAAUUGCAUAUUGUGAUUCUUUUCAAGGAUUCCUCCAUUGUUAUCUAACUUAGUUUUAGUUAUAACCUGUCAACUUUUACUAAGUGUGCUCGUAUCUGAUGCACAGAUUCUUAGUUAUUAGAUAAAUAAAUUCGAACCAGCAAAUCAGCAAAAAAUUUAUAAUACAAGCAUCUGCUUUUGUGCUGCAUACGUAAAAAUGAAAUCAUUAAUGAAUUUGCUUAUUCGUAGUAGCUGCUGCUGCAGCAGCAAUAAUUUCAAAUUAUUACUGUUCUUUUUGCUGUCGGUGUAAAUGUAUCCAUUAUCCCUGAAAAUUGAUGAUUUUGUUACAUGCAAAAUAUCUAAUGUCGGCGAGGAGGAUAUGGAAACAUCAACCUUUUUGAUAUGCUUAUGCUUUUGAUUGUGAUUGUUGAUGUGGUCAUCUUAUCUUGUUAAAACUUGACACAGGAGGAAAUGGAAAGUGCAUACAGUGCUAAGAUCAAGCAGUCUAAGAAUUCUUUGAGCUGGUAAAAUGAGCAUUUCAAGCUUCAUGAAUCAUCACUGGGAAAAGUGAAGUGCCCGAAACGAAAAGAUGAUACAGCAUGUUUUUGCGACGAGGAUCAACCUUACCGAUAAUCUAUUUAGAUUAUACUGUACCCUAAAAAAAACAAAGAGACUAAAACUGCUAAUUCCUAAUUGAUGUCCUAAAGUUGUAUAUAUUGUCACCCAGUGGGGGUGCUCUGUGUUAAACUUGUUGGUUGGUUGGAAGAAAUUCUUAUGUUCUAUUAGGUUUUCAGUAAGCCAAUGUGCUGUGUUGCAAUUUUAAGGCCUAGUUUGGUACCACCACUUUUCAUAUUUGUAUUUUUCAGCAAAAAUUGUUUGUUUCAAACAGCACAAUUUGGUCUCAAACCGUGUAAUUGUUUCUUCUUUUGUUUUUAGCCUUCUAUGUAGUAUACACCACAUGUGGUAGCCUUCUUAGGAGAAGAAAUUUAUUUUCUUCUUUCUUUUUGUUUUUCUUUCAUCCUUUGCAUCCCUUUUCACUACAACGCCCGCUCUCUCAUCCUCUGCCUUAGUCGCAGCCACUGCUUCUGUCCCAAAGUGCUCUCUUUUUUUUUUUUUGUUGUCGUUCUUAAAUUCUGCGGCACCCUCAUCGAUAUUAUUAUUUAUGAUCACGUCUUUCAAUACAGCCUUAUCUUUUUAAUCUGGCUUUUUUUAUAAAAUGACUCUUCAAAAUUUUAAAAUUGAAAAAAUAAUUCUGUCAAACUUUUAUUUGAAAAAAUAAUCAUCCUUUUGCCACAUAGUCGGCACGUCAGAUUUUUGUUAUGAAUAUAGUGAAUCAUUCACCGUCUUCACAUAUAUAUAAUGAAGGCGGUAAAUCAUUCACCGUCUUCAUAAUAUAUAUGUAAAUUUUGUUAGUUUACUAAAGGUUCAAAUUUAAUCUGUAAAUUUUAAAAAAUAAUUUAUUUUUGAAAAAAAAAAUGCAAAACCAGUAGAUCCUUUGUACAAAUUGGCUCAUUUUUUUUAUCAUAUAGAAGUUGCUUUCGAAAAUGGGCAAGCCCGACCCGAUUCCUAGUAAAAUGGAUUUGGUCCGGACUCGGGCUUAGAGUGGCCCGGUUCAAACCCGACCCAAUUCCACCCGCUACCAGGGAUCAUAAGUCCGCUUACUGGUGGUGCGCUUGUACGGAUACACCGGGUGCACGUAUUAAUUUCCCUCUCGAGGAAGAGACCCCGUACACGAGGGUUCUGUGGAGAGGUUUUAGCUCCUCGGCGCGAAGAAUCGCGGGGCGCGACUCAUACGCCGCCGCUCCCUCCGCCGCUCCCAAAACCCUCUCCUUUUCCUUCACCCUAAUCUCUCCUCUUCUCCUAUCGUGCCCUAAUCCUCUCUAUUAACUCCCAAUCGAGGAGAAAGGAGGAAGAGGAAGAGGAUGAACUCUCCCAACAUCAGAGAUCUCCUCACUUCUUUUAGCCCCUCCUCGGAUUUCUUCGCCAUCACCUCUGGCGAUGGCCGAAUCAAGGUGUGACUUUACUUAACUUUUCCUUCUCAGUUUCUCCUUUAUUUGGUAAUUUAUGAGAGAAAUUUGUGAAAUUGUUGGUUAAUUAGGUGAUAAUUAGUGGGUUCUAUGUUUUUUUAGAUCUGGGAUACUUUAAAAGGUCAGUUACAAACCCAGUUGCCGGAUUUCGCGGCGUCCGGCGAGUCGGGAUUGCUCUCGGAGGCGAAAAGUGGCCAUCUUGCGUUGGAUUACACUUGCAUGAAGUGGGUGCAGUUGCAAAGCAAGGUAAUUUUUUGAUGGAAGCUAACGAUGGGACUCUUUUUUGGAGUUUUAGGUUAUGCCCAUAAGGUGUUUGUGUUUGGAGCUGAUGAUGUUUGUGGGAUUUGUAGAAGAAGAGAAAGGGUGGAGGUUCGUUGUUGGUGCUCGGGACAGGAGGCGGUGAUGUUUUGGCGCUCGACGUCUCGGCGGGGCAAUCGAGAUGGAAAAUUAAUGAUUGCCAUCCUGGGUAAGUUGGUUAACUGCAUUGAAAACCAAUUAGGUUGAGUGUAUGAUUAUAUUUUGUGCUAGUUGUUUUCGCUGCUAUGUGUUGCUUGCCGCUUGUAGCUGAUUAGGGUUUAUUACUCUCUAACGUUUGUUCAAGGUGAAAAAAUGCCUUCUCAGGCUCAUUUUGAGAGGAACUCAAACCAAAAGCCAAUAAUAGUCCUUUAAUGACAACUAUUUUGUAGUGCAUAUAGAACUGGGAAGAGCGUCUCUAUCUAUAGCCCGCCUACCCAUGGAUGUGAAUGUUACUUUACAGUGAGGAGAGCCUUAAUUAGUACUUAUAGUGUUUUUGUCUUAUAACAGAAUUCUCUUGCCGAUCUAUGUAAUUUAGUGAUAAAUAUUAAAUUAGAUAAGAAAGAAAACUUCUACAUUUCCACUACUUUGAGAUCUUCGUGACGUGCUUUUUUGAAGUGGUGUAAUGGUUUAAAUUGCAGGGGUGUAACAGCCGUUUCCUUUUCUAUAAACCGCUUGUGCGUCUAUACAGCUGGUGUUGAUGGUAUGGUCUGCCAGAUUGAUAUUUCUACAGGAAAAGUUUUGGGCAGAUUUAGAUUGUCUGCAAAGCCAAUAUCCUCGUUGUCUCUUUCUUCAGGUACUGCACUGUUCACAUAAUAGUUUCUAAAUUUUUCCUGCUUAUGCUCCCCCCCCCCUCUCUCUCUCUCUCUCUCUCCCUCGCCACCCUUGUAGGUUAAUUUAGUGCUGCUUCACCUUCAUUAGGUUAGGUGCCAUGUAGGACAGAUUUCAACACUUCUGUAUAUUAAGAUAUUUGAGAUACACAGUUGUUAAAUUAUGCCUUUUGAAUGGCCCAUAUCCUAUUCUACGAUACAGCGAACCUUCGAAAUCCAUUUUUCUUCAUUGUGCUUUUCCGUAACGACAGAAGUUCUUUUAAGAUUUCAAACUUUUAAGAACAAUUUACUUUUAUCUUCUGUAUACUCUGGUUGACUCAUGUUAUUUUCUUCAUUAGAUGGAAAGAUAUUGGCCACAGCUACUGGUCAACUGAAAACUUUCGAUUGUUCUAACCAAAAGAAGAUUCAGAAGUUUUCUGGGCAUCCGGUGCGUGCAAUUUAGUGCCCUUACUUCGCCUUUUAUUCUCUCUUCCUUUUUACUUAUCUUAAUCUUUUCUAUAUGCAUUUAUAUCUAGGGUUGAUUAGAAAGUUAGUUACAUAAGUUUGACCUUCAUUACAAUUUUGUUGUCAUAGUUUCAAUUGUAAUAAUUUAGUCCCUGAAGUUUGUUCUGCAUAACAGUUUAAAUGUAUUUGUUAAUCUACCAUCUAUAAAGGGUGCAUGUCAGUACUAAGUUAAGACUUUGCUUUCAUAAUUUUGAAAAUCUGAGGGUGAAAUUGAAAUCGACCUUGAAGAACAAAUUUGUUAAAAGAAAUGAAACUUCUUGGAUGAGUAAACUGAAAUCUAAAUUAAGCUUAAGGGAUGAAAUUGUAAUUAACCGUCAAUUCUAUCAGCUAAUCUAUGAUCUGUGCUCUCUUUAGGUCAGCGUAAGGUGCAUGAUUUUCAGCGAGGACACACAGUAUAUUUUAUCAUCUGGAGUCGGUGAGAAAUACAUCGCCAUUUGGAAAGUCGGUGCUGUUAAAAGUGAGGGUGCGACCUGUAUUCUCUCAAUGGACCAUCCACCUAUCUUUCUGGAUAGCAAGUGCAUGGAUACAGAGGGCAGUGAUGGUGCAGGAAUAUAUGUUUUGGCCAUUUCAGAGAUGGGCAUAUGCUAUUUCUGGUAUGGAAGUAGCAUUGAUGACUUGAGGAAUAAGAAGCCUACAAAGAUUAUGUUAUCCGAGUCUUCUCUCACAAAAGGAAAUCAUGGAUUUGCAAUUCUUGCUGCAAAAAUUCAAGAAACAGGCAAACCUGCUUCUGGGCAAGUGCUUGUGGCCUGUGGCUCUGUUGUGAAGCCAUCUUUUCAGAAACUGUUGGUCCAGUAUGGCACGGACAUAAAGUUGGAGGUGUCUCAAGUUGGGGCUCUCUUACCAGUGAGUCACUCUGCCAUUCCUCACAAAGGCCAAGCCAUACAAAAUCAAGGUGCAACAUACAAUCAUAUUCAUCCCUACCAAAUCAUCUAUUUACAUAAUAUACAUGUAUUUUGCAUGCAUGCAUGUAAGCAUGUACAUACAUGCAAGUAGAUAAUAUUUUGCAGUGGUAUAUACGUACAUAUUUCUAACAUAACAAUGUUUUUGUAAAACCAUAACCUUUUGGGUUUUGAUGAGUUUCUUGGCCAACUCUGUUUGGAAUUCUGUUUGCAAUUCGGUUCCAGAAUUUUUUUUUUGGUUGAUGCAUCAACAAUCUCCUUCUUUGUUUCUUAGUUGUAGAUGUUUUUCAUCAACUCCACCUUUGCUGGAAAAUGACUCGUCUUUUUCUUGAACAGUCACUGCACUCGACCGUGCAAAUGCAGAAGAUGCUAUAUUGCCUCUUCCAAAGUUGUACACUUACGACAAGAAAAGGAAACAUCGUGUGACAGAACUAACUGCAGAUACUGAGAUUACGAUGGCUGAUGACAGUUAUGAUAAAACCUUGCCUGUAGAUAAGAGUGGUAAGUAUUCUUCUCAUGAAUGGUAAACUUUUCUUGAUAUUGUUUUCCUGAUCACUAGCAUAUAGAUUAAAAGAAGUGUAGAUAGAAACUCAACAAUAUGUUUUCAUACAAUUUCGUGUUUAUAGAUGGGCCUUUUUACUUUUGGGUAUAAAAGGGCUAAAUGUAUGUCAUUACAUGAUACUGUUCAAUACGGUGUUCUCGACUAUUCCGUAAUCUAAUUGAAUAUUCACUUAAUGGAAUAUUCUAUAGCUAUUUUGAUGGAAACUUCCAAUGCUAACAAAACUUGACAAAAUUUCUGGAGUAAUGAAAGGUUUUGUACAAUCAAAAUGCGUCUAUGCUCUAGUGAAGGUUUUUAUGGUGUUACCUCUUAACGGUUAAACUUGCCUCUGUAGUUCAUCUUUUUGCUGAAUAUUGCUGGCUUAUUUAGCGACAGUGCAAAGAAUGGAGGAAGAUGCAAUUUGCAUUGAAGAUAGGAUGAGGGAGUUGGGGCUUCUUAGUACCAGUUCUUAUCUAGAGAAGUAUCAUGAUAGCACCAUAUCACUAGAUGACGACACCCCAGCAAAGAAGGUUUUUAUUUUGUGAUUGUGAUUCCUGUCAAAUGUUCUUUUCAAGCAAAAAUUAACUUACUUUUGCAGUUAAGUCAACAGAAGUUUCUAACCCUCAUUGCUCUAUUGGUAGAUAAGGGCGCAUAUCUUGUCUAUGAGUCACGAUGAUGCUUGUAAGUUUUUGGAAACCUUGGUGUCAGCAUGGAAAACAAGGUAUGCUGAUUUCUACUUGCACAUUUGCCCCUGUAUUUCAGUUGUUCUUGGUGAUGCAGUGGGGACUGGAACCAAAUUUUUGUGCCAUUUUUCUUCUUCAGGUCAAAGUCGGCAAAGCAUAUUCUACCUUGGAUAUAUUGGUUACUAGCCAUCCAUGGUCGCUUUAUCUCAUCGCAAGAGUUAUCUUCACAAAUAUUAGAUAGUUUGCGGAAGGUACAUUUAGAACUUAAUGUAUUCUCUAAUGCUGAUGAUCAUGGUUAUACAUCAACUUGUGUUAGCUCUCCCAAUUUCAUUGUAUUGUUGUUUAAUAUUCGUUCCAUAAGCUUAAUAGGACUUUGGACAUCAAAGUAGAAUAAAAGGAGUCUUUAGGAGAGUUAAAGACAGAAUAGGGGAGCUUAGCGGCAUAAUAAGGUGCAGUUACUAUCCAAAAAAUGAGAGAAAUCACAAUUCCGUUUUGCAUUUGGCACAAACUAGUUCUCAGACAAAUAAAUAGGAAAAAGAAAACCCAAUUCUUAAAUACGAAAUAGUAAAUAAGGAGUGUUUUGUAUGACAAUCCUUAGCUUUUUGGUGUGCAAUGUCUUAUGGUUUCUUUUUUCUCCGCUCCCAGAUGAUUUCAGUAAAAUGUGCAGCUACCGAAGAAUUAUGCAAGCUAUCUGGCCGUCUUCAGCUAAUUACGGCCCAGGUUCUGAUGGAUUGAAAUUUUUAUUUUUUGAAAAUUUUUCCUAUACAAAUUAAAUCUACUGAAGCUUAUCACUUACAUGUUAAUAUCUUGAUCUCCUCUUUACCAGAUCGAUAAGGCCGGUAGUAAUGUUAUCAUACCGCCAUUGGGUGAUAUGAAGCCUAAAGAAGGUGAAGAUGAAGGAGAUGAUGAAGAGGAUGAGGAAAUCGAUGAAAUCGUUUACGGGGAAGAAGAUGAUGCAUCUGAAAGUAGUGGCGACGAUUCUGAAGAGCGUAUGCAGUCAUAGAUAGUAUUUUUGACAGUUUUAUUUGUUCGUGUUCUUUACAUCAAUUAUUUUUCUGCGAAAUUGAUGUAAAAUUAGUUGGUUCAAUCCCUGAGGUUUUAAGGGCAUUUUAAACCAUCUUUGUAUGCUUUGUAUCACGAAUAUUUCUACCCUUUUUGUGACAUUUUUGUGUUAUUUACUAAUUUAAUGGAGAGGUAAAAAAAAUUUAUAUCACUUUAGGCUAGUUCCGUAGGGCUAUAAAUGUGCAGUAAUGAAUAAGUUAAAAUGCGAAUAUUUGAGCUUAUAUAUAGAGAGGGAUAAGUUGGAAUAUUAUUAUAGCAAAUGAGUGUUUUUGCCAUCAAUUUAUUUUCAAUAAUGAAAUUUUUAAAUUGAUAAUUGGUAUUGUUGGAUAUAAUUUAUGUCAUUUAAAAUAUUUAGAAAUUUAAUUUUAUUAUUUUUUUGAUAUUAUUUUUUUUAUUCAUGAAAUGGAUAUAAAAAUGAAUGGCUGCUGCCUCCUAGUGCUUAAGAAUGGAGAGGCGGAUGGAGACGCGGAGAAAUACUAAACUUCAGGUUGUGGAGAGGUGGAUGGAGACGUGGAGAAAAAUACUCAAUUUUAGGUUGAGACGGAAAUGGAGAGGUGAGAAGAUAUUUACAGGUGCAAAAGGGUAUAUUUAAAAAAUGUUGAUAAAUUAUAAGGAAGUUCACUUCUCUUUCCUAUAAUAUUUUUGUACAGCUAGAAAUUCUAUAUGCAUUUGAUUCAUGUUACGUAGUAUUAUAGAUUAUUUCGACAUAAUUAGAUAUCUAAGAUUUCUGAAUUAAAUUACUAUUAAUAUUGUAUUACCGCGCUUGAUUUUAUACAGUAAUAUAAUAUCGGAUUAUAGUGUAUAUAGAAUUAUUAUGUUUGAUUUAUUUUAUAAAAUUCAGUAAUAUUAUCAAUAAAAUAUAGACUAUUUCAAAAUUAUCUACAUGGGCGUAUUUGGCAAACUUUUUUUUUCUUAUAAAUACUAAUUUUUUACUAGAUUUUAUUUUAAAAUAAUUUAAAUUUAAAAUUUAAAAUUUUAAAAUAUAAAUGUGAAAUUUAAAAAAUUAAAUUUAAAAGUUAGAAUUUAAUUUUAAAUUUUAAAUUUUAAAUUUAAAUCAAAAAUUUUAAAAGUGACAUAUUGAAAGGAUUUGGGAGGGGGUUGAAGGGAUAAAUUUAUAAUUUUAUAUAAUAUGCAAGAUUAUCAGUCAUUAGUAAUACAAGAUAUUCAUCCCCCGUUUGGUAAUAUUUUGGAGUAAUUCUAUACCAUUUAUAAUGCUACAUUACUUACCAGAUUACAAACUGUGUGAACCAAAUAUUUAAUAAUCUUAGCAAAAUUAUCUGUAAUCCUUACAAGAUAAUCUGAAUCAAAUACGUCCUGAAAAGAUCCCAGUAAUAUUUCAAAAUUUUGGCAAUUUACUGACCGUCUCUAGUGCAAGUGACAAAGGGCUUGAUGGUUGGUAUCUGAGGUCCCAAAUUCGAAUUCUAGUUGAUUCGCAUUUCUAACUAAAUUUACUGAUAGCAUGCUACCUAUCUCUCUCAAAAAAAAAAAAAAAAGAAAAAAAAAGGGGGGGAAUUUGAGCAUUAUAGAGUCACUCUCGAUUACUCGUCAUCCGCUUUGACAAUCUUCACCUACUUUCCCUUCUAGAUAGUAGAUAGCAAGCAAUCUUUGACCACCACUCACACAAAAUUAAUGCCAACAAAAAGAUGGUUAUAGCCGAGUCAGUAUGUUAGCCAAAGAGACCGUCCAAAUGAAGAAAAAAAUGUGAACGCUUCCACACCUUUGAGACCCACCUACCAUCAUUUAUUUAUUACACCCACCUACCAUGCUUACAAUCCACUAAACUAACCAUCUAUAUAAACCCCUCCUCACUUCACUAAAAAUCCCAUCCCUUCGUAUACAAGCUAACUACAAACUCUCUAAAGAGUACUAUAUAGUUUCCAUAGCAAGAGAUUAAUUUAGCUAAGGAAUUUAUAAGCAACAAUGAGUUCUCCUGCAAGCUGGAACCUUGAGAUCGAGUCCCCGGUCGCGGCGCCGCGCCUGUUCCGUGCCGCGGUCCUCGACUGGCACAACCUCGCCCCGAAGCUCGCCCCGGAGAUCGUCGUGAGCGCCGCUCCGAUCGAAGGCAACGGCGACGUCGGAAGUGUGAGACAGUUCAACUUCUCCCCAGGUACUCAUAUACAAGAGCUUGCAUGCUAAGAACACUGCAGUAGUUAUAAUAUUAUACGUACAUAGAGCCAUGUAUAUAUGUUCAUGCAUGUUUCUGUACACAGAUCGUAAUUAAUGAAUCUGAUCAGAUUGAGUCAAAACUCUGAUAUUAGUAAUUCAGAACUGUACGUAUAUUAAUAUUAUUAUUCUCUGAUAUAUUAUAAAGGGUCAAUUGUUUAUAUAUUUCUGAAAAAAAUUUGACUUUCUGAUUUACUCUUCUUAGAAGGCUAAUAUUGAAAAUAUUUUUUUUUACAUUCCAACAUAUUUCAAAUAUAUCUCUAGAGUUAAAUUCUGUUAAUGAACUAUUAGUAAUAAUUGUUAUCUGUAUAAAAUUGCUAUUUUACCUUUUCAAAUAUACAUUUCCAUCAUCAUCGAUUUUUCUUAUUUAUCUUUAAAUUUAGAGUGAAAAGGAUAUUUUAAUUUUUUUAAUUUUAAUAUAUAUUUAACUUAUAUUUAAUCUAAAUUAACUUAACGAGUGAUAACUGUAGUGGUGUUUUGAAAUAACGGAGAAAUAUAGGAGGCCGGAUAUAUUGGAAAGAAAAAAAAAAUAAAUGAGAUAUUUUUGAAAUUUAAAAAAAUGUAUAGAUGAUUAUUUUUAUUAUUAAAAUAAAAUAUUUUUAUUUUAAGUGGACUGAUUCAUAUCGGGACGAAUUGUUGCGUAAUCGCUCACGUGCCAUUACGUGAAAAUUACUUUAUUAGCACUUUUAUUAUUGUACCAAAUAUAUAUAUAAUAUAUAGACAAAAUACUCAAAUCAGAACAAGUCAAAAGCAACGUUUUUAAUUAAAAAAUGUUACUGUUCCGACCAAAAUUUUACUGCUUCAACAAAUGGUGGUACAUAUUCUUAGACCCGGUUAUCAUAUUUAAUAUACACAAAUCACAUACAAUAAAUUCGAUCAAUUUUAGCUAUAGUUAUAGAGAGCAAAUUCAAUAUACAAGCCUUUUUCCAGUAAUAUUAGAACUGCUAAUUAAUAUCAACUCCCCUUAUGUUAAUUCGCUCGCCUAAUUAAUGAGUGAUUCUCUUAUUAUGGUUCGGUUUAGAUGGUUACUUAAUUAUACUUCAACUAUUUUAGAUUGGAUUAAUGAAUGAUACAGAUAAAAUAUAUAGUACUACUAAUUAAUGUUAUUAUUAUUAUAUAUUAUUAACGCAUGGUCACUCUUUAAUUUGUAGCACUGCCCUUCGCGUACACGAAGGAGCGCCUGGACUACGUAGACCACGCCAAGUACGAGACCAAGCAAACCCUGAUCGAGGGCGGCGGCAUCGGCGUCAAGCUCGAGUCCGCGUCGUCCCACAUCAAGUUCGAGCCCGCGAGCAACGGCGGCUGCGUCUGCAAGGUCGUCGCGACCUACAAGCUCCUCCCGGGCGCCACCGUCGGCGACGAGGUCGCCAAGGCCAAGGACUCCAUCACCAAGAUCGUCAAAACUGCUGAGGCAUAUCUCCUCGCCAACCCAGAUGCUUACGUGUAAUCUGUUUAAUAUUGUAGCUAUGGCUGCUGCUGCUGCUGCCGCUGCUGAUACGACUACUAUAUAUUUGAGGUGUGUGGUCAAUUGUUAUAGUAAAAUAAGUUGGAAUAAUAAGUGUGUUAAGGAAAUUGUUUGUGUGUGAGAGAGAGAAGUGAGUAUAUAUGUACGAGUGUUUUGGGGCUUGUUUUGCGCUCUACCGAGAAAGCUUGUAUUAGCUCUUUGUGUGAUUGAGUAUUAAUAAAUAACGUUAUUUAUUAAAAUAUAAGUUAUGAAAAGUUUAAUUUAUGCGUUUAUUUAAAAAAAAAAAAGAAAAAAGAAAUAGCUCAAUAAUAUGUUCACUUUGUCCCAAUAAGAACUCCUCUCACAUUAUAAGAAACGAAGGUUCAACAUAAUGUUUUUAAAAAAUGGCUACUAAAAAAUAAUAUGAAUUUAGGAUCAGAUUCAGAAUAACGAACUAACACAUUAAAUGCUCACGUAAUGUUUUUUUUUUUCCCAAAAAAGAUUAAUUAAAAAUAUCAUAAAUUUAGAAUCGGAUUCAGAAUAACUAAAUCUCUCUCUCUCUCCUAUUUCAUAUUGUCAGAGAAAUUAGCCGCAGGCUUAAUUAAAUAUAUAGAAAUCACAAAUUAUGUAAAUCCAACAUCCCCUUACUUUAAACAAAAAAAAAAUAAAAUAAAAAAUAAAAUAAAAAAUUACACAACCAUCUCACCUGCAAAGUUUCCCCUCCCCCAUUUGCUUCCUUUUCACCUUCCCCCACAUCAAAUCAAUCAAAUCGAAUCAGACCGAACUGAACUGAAUUCGAGCUCGAAUCCCAACCCGAAUCCGAAAUUGAAAUCGCGGGUCAAAUUCUAAAUUUUUAAAAUUUUGGUUUAGUGGGUCCGGGUGGGCUGGGACUGGGGCAGCAGGCCGGGGAUGUAGGGCACCCCGGUCCUGGGGAUCCAGCGGUGGCCUUGCAGGAAGUGCUCGACGGUGAACUUCUGCGCGUGCUCGUAGCUCACCUUCUUGACCCCCUUCCACGUGGCGCGCGCGCUGGUGUCGGAGCCUGGGCCCCUGUUGUCCACCUCGGUGUAGAAGCAGGUGCGCAGCCCGUAGUCCCCGAGCCACGGCAGCCAGCCCACGGGGUUGAUGAGGUCGUCCAGCUGGCACUGGAUGUAGAAGGUCCUGGAAUACUCCUUCCACGGCCGGCCGAGGUACGUCGGGAUCCGGGCCUUGACGGGCUCGAAGCUGGGGUCGGCGGUGACGGUGCAGUUGUGCAGGAUGAUCCCCCCCGCGGAGCGCUUCUCCUUGCGGCCCUGCGCGGUGACGAUGUUCUGCUGGUUGUCGAGCGGGCGGCGGACGAGGAUGAGGCAGUUCUGGAGCACCACCUGCGCGUUGCCGAAGAUGAAGUCGAUCGUGCCCGUGACGGUGCAGUCGCGGUAGAACUGGCGGUAGGCGUGCGUGUAGAGCGUGUCCUGGUAGCCGUCGAACUGGCACUGGUAGAACACCGACAGGUCGCUCUGCACCCGCAGCGCCACCGCCUGGUGGUUCUCCGCGCCCGCCGAGUUCUCGAACCCCAGGUCGCGGGCGAAGAACCCGUUGCCCACCACGGCUGCAGAUCCCAAUCCAAUCCAAUCCAAUCCAAUCCGUCAGAAUUAGUACAAUAAAUUCAGAAAAAAAAUAUAAUAUGCUGCCGACCGGCAUAUUUUAAAAAAUUUAUUGCAGCAGACAUGGAGAGAUAUAUAUAUAUAUAGUUAGGUUGCGCUUACUGAAGGUGGCGGUGUCCUUGGUGGUGAUGUUCUGCCGGAAGUUGCGGUUUCCGGUGACCCGCGUCUUCGUGGGGCCGUCACCGUACAUGACGACGUUCGUCAAGUCCCGGUCGACCGUGACGUACUCGCUGUACACCCCUUCCUUCACGUAGAUCACGAACGCCUCCUCGCUCUUCUUCGGCACCGUCGCGAGCGCCUCCGUGAUCGUCUUGAAGUCGCCGGAGCCGUCCUGCGCCACCGUCACGUUCGGCUUCAGCUGCAGCGGCCCCGCCUGCAGCAGCCGCCUCUUCCCGGCCGAGACCCACUCCGGAACGGCCGCCUCGCCCUCGCCGUCGGCCUCGAGCAGCCGCCGGCUCAUGAAGGGGAUGUUCAUGCUGCCGAUGGUGUUCGAGAACUCGUCGACGAUCGCGAGGAUGUUCGCGGUGAGCUCGGAGGCGCUCUUCAGCGCCUUGCUCAUCGACUGCGCCGCGUCGGUGGUGGUGUUCUCGAAGCCGUCGAGGCAGGUGUCCUGGUAGGUCAGCACGGCCGACAGCCACGUCUUGAGGUCGUCGACGGCCCGCUGGAAGUUGGACAUCUCGAAGCCGCCGAGCUGGUCGAAGGACGUCUUCAGGUCCUCCACCGCGUACUCGAGGAGCUCCCGGCAGUUCUGGAGCGCCCCCGACGUUCUCUUGUCGUGCGCGAGCUCAGCCAGCGUCUCCGAGUGGUUGAACGCCUGCUGCACGCGCUCCGUCGUCACCUUAAAGAUCGCCUGGUGCACGUACACACACGCACGCAUGCAAAAUAUAUAUUGAAAUUAGAGGACGAUGAAAACUUACAAACUGAAUAGCCAACGUAUUCAACAUAUAAUAAUCUAAAUAGAGAGUUAUGCGAAUAUUGCACUCGACGAACCUUGGCGAGCUCGGUGGGGCUCGUCUGCUGGUAGUCGGUCGGCCUACAAAACUCCUUGAUCGCCUUCACCGACGUCGUCAUGUGCGGCUCCGACUUCGCAUUGCUACUGCCGCCGCCGCUGCGGUGCGUGACAACGACGGCGACCGAGGCCACGACGGCCACGAGGAGGACGGCGGAGCCGCCGAUCACGGCGUACUUCUUAUUCCCCAUGGUUAUUAUUAUUACAAUUUAUUGUUUUUGUAAAGUCCCCUACCCAAGCAAGAUAGGGGGGAGUGGGGGGUGGGGGGAAUGUUUUAUUACAGUAAUGGAGUAUUGAGGGGAUGACCACAAAGGGUCUUAUGGUAAUGAAGAGCAUUAGUGGGAAUGGUGGGGUUAAAUAGAGGUGGAGAAGAAGAUCAAAAUAGGAGGUUGGGGAGGGAAUAGUGGCGAGGUAGAGGGACAACCAUAAGAAAAAAUAGAGAGCGUGAGCGCUUCUAGCCUAGUUUUGUCCCUGUUCAAAGGGUUGUGGCUAAUUUUGGUUGAACACACGGUUUUCAUAUAUAAUAAUAAGUGUAGUGAAUUAGGAUGGAAAUCCCCAGUUUUGAGUACAAAAUUUGAUGGUAGAAGAAAUAUACAGAAUUUAUCUAAAUUAUAAAUUAUUUUAAAUCGACUAUCGAAUUUUUCAAAUCUUAAUUUUACUAUUUUAUUUGAGUCACUCAAUAUUAUUUUGGCUUUAGAAUUUAAGAUAAUUAUUUUAAUAAAUUUAUAGUUGUAAGAAUUUUAUGAAGUAUACCAAUAAAGUUUGUAAAGAUCAACUAUGUAUUCAAAACUUACAGCCAAAGUGUCGUUGAUUGAAUUUAAAUCAAAUAAAUUGGAAUGUAGGAUAAUAAAUUAAAAUUUUCAAAGAUUGAAUGGCCAACUAAAAAUGAUUUAUACUUUAGAUAAUGUUCUAUAUUUUUUACCAAAUUUUAAAAUUCUAUACAACCAGCCCAAAAUACUUAAGCUCAGUUAUUAUUAUUAGCAUGUAUGCCUCAUAUAAACCGAUCGAAAUCAGUUCCAGUAUCUCACCCGAUGUGGAACUAUUGGGCGUUACAAACUCCCCCUAUUUAGACCCUGACGUUCUCGUCGGGUCCAAACCAGAACGUCAGGGUUCAAACCAGAUCACAGACAGAUCAGAUGAUGUGAGAUUCUAGAGGUGGCUCCCACCUAACUCGUUGGAGUAGCACUUUGCCCCGCAUAGCACUUAGCUCUCACACUUUCGGUUGGUAUUCGGCUCUGAUACCAAUUGCAACGACCCGACCCGCUAGCAAUAAUAACUCGUUGGGCCCAAACCAUCGGCCCAAAAUGCUUAAGUCCAGUUAUUAUUACUAGCGUGUAGGCCUUAUAUAAAUCGAUCGAAAUCAGUAUCCCACCCGAUGUGGGACUAUUGGGGACAUUACAGUUUGCCAGCAUGCACGACCCGACACGACUUUUCAAUUUUUUUUCUCUUUAAAAUAUUUUAAGUUAUUUUCUCUCAAUUAUAAUUAAAAUUAUCAAAAAUUUAUUAUCUAUUUACUAAAUAACUAAUAAUUACUUUAUAAGAUAAUAUCAAAAAAAUAAAAUAACAUUAAAAAAAAUAAAAUUUAAAAUAAAAAAAACGGCUCGCGGCACGGCCUACUCUAGGCCAAGCCCUGUGCCCACUACUAGGCCAGCAAAAGACGGCUCAGCACGUCAUAGGUCGAAUCAGGGCUGCGUCUACUGGGCCGUCUAUAUGGGUUGUGCUCAUAACGCAAAAAUUUUGAUCUAGAACUUCUGCAUUAAAGGGUUUGUGCAGUUGAAGCUCAUCUAAUACUCUUCAGAUCGUUUGGUUAGAUAUAAUAAUAAAUACAGUGUAACUAGAGAUGUAUGCAGUUAAAAAUACAGCAAUUACAAUUACAUGCAUCAUGUUUGGUUGAAUGUAGUAACAAGCGCUGUAAUUAUAAAUAAUUUGUUUGGUUGUAUGUAGUUGAGAAAUAAUUUUUAAAAUUUUAUCAUUAUAUAUAUAUAAUGAUAUAAUGAUAAAAUAACCAAAAAAUGUAAAAAAAAAAUGUUUUUUGUUUAAAAAAUAUUUAAAAAGGUAAGAUUAUCUUUUAUUUAAAAUUACACUUUUCAAUUGGUGCAGUUGGAACUACGGCCAAUUUGGGCGUAGUUCUAACUGCUACAGUUGGACCUCUUCCUGUAGUUCCUACCGUAGCAGUUAAAGUUAAAUAUAUCAAACCAAAUACUGAAUUUAUAUUUGUAUACAGUUACAACUAUUAUCCAGUUACAAUUAUAUUUAACGAAACGAUCACCCAGUCAAAAAAGACCGGUACAAAAAUAUUUCAACUGUAAAAUAUAUAUCAUAACUGACCCGCCGAAUCUUAAACCAUUUACAGCGUUGGUAUGGGUGGCACUCGCACGAGCCAAUCACAAGCUUAGAACACAGCUGCAGUUGCACCACAGAUCCAUUUUUGGACAAACACUUUUUUUGGACCCACCCCAGCCCACUUGUGAGAACGGCAAGAGGACAAAUCAUAUAAGGUCGAAAAAAAGCAAUUCGAUCGUACGUGGAAAGCAGCGUUAGGCUUGUAUUUAAUAGGGAAAACUUCAAAAAAACCCCAUGUGGUUUCACACUUUUGCAUUUUAGUACCCUGUAGUUUGAAGUGUAUCAAAUUAGUACCCUGUGGUUUCACACUUUAUCACUUUAGUACCUUAUGAUUUAAAAAACUAUAGGGUACUAACUUGAUACAAAAUUAAAACCACAGGGUACUAAAGUGAUAAAGUGCAAAAUCACGGGGUACUAACUUGAUACGCUUUAAACCACAGGGUACUUAAGUGAUAAAGUGAGAAACCACGGGGUACUAACUUGAUACAUUUUAAACCACAGGGUACUAAAGUGAAAAAGUGUGAAACUACAAGGGAGGUUUUUGAAGUUUUUCCUAUUUAAUAACACAAAAUAAAAUAGAAUUCUACAACAUGCACGUCUGAAAACCAUUUUUUCAUUUUUCUUAACUAGUCGCAUCGCCUUUUUUUAUUUUUUAUAAAAUUUUCUUAAAAAUAAAUAAAAUUUUAGCACUCUUUAUAAAGAAUUUUAAGAAUUAUAAUUUUUUUUUUAUUAUAGGUUUAGUAUUUCUCACAAGCCAAAUACUAUAUUUCAGAAUCUCUAAUAUUUAAUUAGGUUUAUGUCAAAAAUUACACCUUCUGUGAAUAAUAAGACGAGGCUGAGCGCACUAGAUAGAUGUAUUGGAGAAGAUGUUAGAGACGAAUGAAAAAAAAAAAGGUUAAAGAUAAAGGUUAAAGACCAAUUCUAUAAUUAAUUCUAAAAAUUAACGAUAAAAAAAAUUGGGGCCAAAAUAAAAAAAAAAAAAAAAAGAAGGUGGAUUUUUCUCAAUCUUUAUUUCACGUGUUACAUCACAUAACNCCAAUAGUGCAUUUAAUCAUUUUAUAAAUGAUUGUACGUUGUUAGUUCGAUUAGGACAUAAUUAGCACGCUAUCAUUGGGAACCAAAAAUAUCCCUACAACCCCCUAAGUCGAAAAUAUCUAAAAUAUUGGAGUCACACAGAUAAUAUAUUAUUUUCCACUAAUCAAAUUAUAUUAUUUUUUUAAUUUAUUUAUUCCAUAUUUUAAUUAUAUUUUUUUAAAAAAUAAAUAUAAUUAACUGGACAUAAACGUUAUAAUUAUAACUUGUUACAUUGUAAAUUUUUUUACUAUAAUAAAUAGAAGAAUUAAAAAUUAUUGGCCCGCAAAAUAUUAAUGAGAAAGAUGACAAAAAUAACUUUGUCAUCUUUACUUUUCACUAAGACUACCCCAUUUACGUAUUAAUCGAAAAUUGAAAGCAUGACACAGCAUAUAGCAUUUUUCGCAUAAACAAAAAAAAGAUUAAUUUUAUACAGAUUUCUUCAAAUAUAGUAAAUUGUAAAUAUAUUUCUAUAAAAUUCAACUAUUAUAUAUUGUUCCUAUAAAAAUCUUAAUAUUUUCAAAUAUGUCCCUACUGUUAAAAUUCAUUAGAAAACUUUAGUUAAUCACAGGUUAGAUGUUUAACUCUAACUAAUUUAUGAGAUAACUUGAUAUUUUUGUCUUUUUUAUAUUAUACUAUUGUGACUUUUGAAGAGAUAUAUUUGUGAUGACAAAAUUGACAUUUUACUUAAAAUAUAAAGAGGAAUAUGUAUUUAAAAAUAUUAGAAUUUUUAAAGGAAUAACAUAUAAAAGUUGAUCUUUGUAGAAAUAUGUUUACAAUUCAUUACAUUUGUAGGAACAUGAAUGCAUUUAACCCGACAAAAAAAUUAUUUUCUUAUUAGUGCACUCUUUUUAUCAGUAAUAAGACAUACUUUGCGCGGUCAAGUAAAAGCUUAAUAUUUUUGCUCCAGCUUUUAUUAGCUCAAUAGUAUUAGGACUGAACAUAAUAGCUAACGAGCUCAUAAUAGUAACACUCACUUGAUCAAGAUUUUUUUUUUUUUCAAAAAAAGGUGCAACUAAAGAAAUAUAUAUUCUUUGUAAAAUUCUUUCUCAUAUUUUCUUUCUCAAAAAUAAAAUUUUACCCAUACACCAUAAAACUAAAAAUCAGCUUUUUAAUUAUAUUUAAAAUUAUUAAUUACUUUGUCUAUCAGACGCUCCGAGCAAUUGCACUCGUAUCAUGAUGAAAGGCUAAAUCGCAUUUUUAGUCCCCAAACAUUAAAGUGCGUGACACUAUAGUAUUCAAAUUUUAGUUUAUUUAUUUCUAGCUCAAACUUUGUAAUCUAUUACAAUAAAAUUUCAUAAUCCAAUUUAAAUAAUUAAAUAACAAUAUAUCACAAAUACAAUAUUAAUAUGAUAAUAUUAUAACCAAUAAUAAUAUAAUAAUUUCUAAAAUAUUAUAUUAUUAUCACAUCAGUAAAAUAUCAUAAUAAAAAAUUGAACUGCAAAAUUUAAUUAUUUAUAUAAUUUAAAAACUUUAGAUCAUAAUAUAUAAGCAUUAUGUAAAGUUAAAGUUUGAGGACCAAAAAGCACAAAUUAGGCUUAAGAAAAGAACCUCAUUGAUGGACCCUACCGCCCCAAGGACAGUAACGGAAACACUAAUUAAUAUAUAAAAUUUAUCUAAACUAUUGACCAUUUUAAUUUUACUAGCAGAUUUUUUUUAAAUUCUAAUUAUAUUUCGAUUCUUCAAUUCGUCGAAUUUGAACCUGAACCGAUCAACACCACUCUCAACUUAAAAAUUUAAAUACAUCAUUUAUUUUCACAAAUUUAAUACAUUUCACAUAAUAAUAAUUUAAUUAAUUUAAGUUCCAAAGUUAAAAAUGCUUUAGCUGACUUAGCCAACUUAAAUCAAAUAAUUUAAAAGACUUUGAUAGUUAAAUUUAAAAUUCUGAAAAAUUAAACCAUAGAAUUAAAAUAGUUCGUACUCCAGAUAAAUUAGAAAAGCUAUUACAAAAAAAAAAAAGGAAAAAAAAAAGACACUAAGCACGAUCCAACGGCUGAGAGAAUAAAAAAAAAAAAGAGAGAGAAAUUAAUGGAUCAAAUUAGAAACACGACCAAUGUUAAUUUUCCGCUUCCCCUCCCCUUCCCACAGAGUUUUUUUUGGGAGCACACGGAGAAGGAGAUCAGCGCCGCGCCUGGGGAUAAGGAGCGACACGUGUCCUGCGGUGGGCAUCGGACGGCCCUCGUCGCGCGUCUCCGUGGGCCCCGCCGUAGCCGUUGCUCGCCCCGUCGCCGCUGAUGAUCUCCUCCAGCAUCUUCUGCAGAUCCUCCAGCGUAUCCGGCGUCUGCCCAUUUUUUUUUUUUUUAACAAAAAGAAAAAAAAAAUUAAAUUUCGAUUAAUUAAUUAAUUAAUUAAUUUCCCGGCCAAAAAGUAAAAGCGUGCUACUUUUCAAUUUUACGGUUUUGCCCCUAGUAGCCUUGCGACUUCGGACAAAUCAUUGUGUCUACUUGUCCCAUCACCAGAGGAAGCGCUUUAAAUUUUCCAAAAAUAUUAUAUUUUACUAAAUUAUUUACAGUUAUACAAAAACUAAUUUAAAUCUAAAAAAUUAAUAAUAUGUAUUGUAAAAAUUUUAUUAGCAAUAGCAUACAAACUCAGCUUCGUAAAGAAAAUAUUUUGAACACUUAAAAAAGCAUAAUGUGGUACAGCAAAGAGUAGAAUUAUCUCCUUUCGUACAACAAUCACUAUAAAAUAUUAGAAAACUUUGGCUACAGUUAUUACAGCUAUUUUAGAAUAUCAAACAAAAGUUAAAAAAAAAAACAUUUGCUUGCUCACAAUAAUUCUAUUUUGAUUGGUUCGUGCCUUCGCUUUAAUCAUGAAAUAUUGCAUUGUACACCCUUAAAUAAAUUAUAAAUUUUAUAUCUUGCUUAUUUAAAAGCUAAUUAUUUUUUAUAAUACCCAAAACUCCAAAAAAUAAUAACAAUAAUAACUCUUCCUACAGGAUGUCUGUAGACGCAGCAUAUUUCACACUACAGCAUUUUUCACUUUAAAAAAUAUGGAAAAACUUCAAAAAAAAACCUCCUGUAGUUUCGUAAUUUCUCACUUUGCCCCCUAUAGUUUAAAAUGUAUCAAUUUGCCUCCCUGUGGUUUCGUUUUUAUCUUUUCGAUUGUUUUUUCGUUAAUAUUUCGUUAAAUUAUAUAUAAAAAACUUCAUAUACCCAUCUAGAUUUAUCAAACAUUCACUUUAGUACCCUUUAAUUUUAAUUUUAUUACUGAUUUAAAAAAAAUAAUAAUAAAAUUGAUAAGAAAAAGAGAAAAACAAAACCACAGGGAGGGCAAAUUGACACAUUUUAAACGACAGAGGGGCAAAGUGAGAAACUACGAAACCACAGGGGGGUUUUUUAAGUUUUCCCAAAAAAUAUUAUUAUAUAUUGUAUAAAAUUGACACUUUUCAUCCUAAAAUUUACAAAGAAUUUUUAAAAAAUUAGUUUAAAAAAUUUUAGAAAAGGGCUUAGACUAGAUAAAAUUUUUGAAUAAAUGAAGUGCAAGAUGUCCACCUAGUCUAGAGAUAUUACAGAUCUCAUUGCUCUUUCACUCUAAUGAGUCAUAUAAAUUUUACAUUCUAUUCGUCUAAAAAUUAAAAUUUUUUUAAUAAUUUUAUCAAUUAUUUUAUAAUACUAAAAAUUUAAAAAAUUUAAAUUUUUUAAAGUUCUGAUAAGAUUCAUAUCCUAACUUGGCGACGGAAAGUAAAAAUCAGGUUGAAGUAGAUUUCUGAGUGAAAUAAACACAAAAAUAUAUAUAAAUUAUUUCCUAAAAAUAAACAAGGAAUACAAGAUAAACCCCCUACACCCGGUGCACGCAAGUUUUUCCAAUGGUAAGUCUCGGAGAGAAAAUCGGAUCGGGUGGCAUACCUCAUUUUUCACGCUAUCCAUCAUCACCAACAUCUCUUGCAUGAAGUCCGUGAAAUCCUGACCGUCCAAAACAACAUUACAUGACCAAAUAAAAAAAAUAAAAAAAAAACACAAUAAAAAUCUCCCCCCCCCCCCCCCCACACCAACUUAUUACAAAACAAAACCAAAAAAUACUAAUAUUCCCGAAAAUGCAACCAAAAAAAAAAGGAAAAAGAAAAAGAAAAAGAAAAAGAAAAAGAAAUUAAUUGUGAGAGAAAUUAACGAAUAUCGCGCCUGACGCUGGUCGUCGCCAUCCAAGGGGUCGAAGAUCCCCGCGUCGUACAUCGCCGCGUUCCCCUUUGUCGGAAGAACUACCACACACACCGCACACCAUGUAUAAUAACCCGUUAGCCGCCGUUACCAAGAAAACGGCAACUCGUAUCGGCGUCGGAAGUGCACUCACCGGAAUACGCCUCCUGAUCCGCUGGAACCCGCCGCUUCGCCUCCGCCGCCCGCGUCGGAUCUUCGCCCACCGAUCCGGUGCCACUUCUACGCUCCCCCCGCACAAAAAACACACAACCCCGGAAAAAUCACCAAAAAUCCCCAAAAAUUAUACCUCAAAAAUCCGAGAACGGGGGAGAGAGUGAGAGAGGGGGGGGGGGGGGGGGGGGGGGGGGAGUACCAGGGCGAGCUUGCGGUACGCGGAGCGGAUGUCGGCGCCGGAGGCGUUCUUGCGGAUCCCGAGGAGGGAGUAGUAGCAGGAUCCGUUGGAUCCGCCCCCGUCGCCGUCCAUCGCCGCGGGAUCGAACGGUGGGGAUCGCCGCAGGAGCCUCGAUCGCGAUCCCGAUGAGGACGCAGAGGAGGAGGAGGGAACUGCCACUGGUUUUGGGCUUAUUUACGAAAAGGGGAUUCCGCUACGCACGUGGUCUGGUUCAGGAGGUGGUGUCGUGUCGGGAAACGGCAGUUGAGGUCGACUCGAUCCGAGACUUUUGACCUAAUUAUUUAAAAAUAAAUUACCACGUGUAUAUAUAUAUAUAUAUAUAUAUAAAAUAUUUUUUUUCUAAAAUUUAAUAAAAUUUAAUUAGAAAAUAAUUAAUAAGACUAAAGAAAAAAAGACUUUUUGAAAAAAUUAUUAAAAAUACUAUUUCGUAAGAGCUUAAUUUUUUUGUGUAGUGCUAGAAUGAAUUAUAUAAUUAUAUUAUUAGUUUUUGUUAGCAGAAGACGUCCUACGUUAUAUUUGGUUCAGAUGCCAGACAAAAAUGUAAACUGACAGGUGGAGAAAUAUCUAAUAUUAUAUAUAUAUAAUACGUAGACCGAAGUUCUAAUUCAAUCCAAAAGCUGAAACGGAUAUGUAGAGAAAAACACUGACUUCUAAGUUGUAUCUAAUACGAAACUAAUAUUCUUUAACAAUAGAAAUGUGGGUUAAGAAUAAUAACUAGGCAUGCUAAUCAAAUUUUAUUUGGAACUAAACGCGUGAAGUUUCAAAAUUUCGAGUCACAUACUGCUGUUUGAGGACUAAAAUAAAACUCAUAGCCAAACAACGCGAGCAGUAGAUUACGAGGCCCGACCCGCUCGCAUCAAAUAAAUUGGUCUCGAGCCUAAUUCUAAAACUCUUGGCCUAAGCCGGUAAAAUUUGAAUAGCUGUCGGGCUCGGUUGGACUGAGCCUUUCUCAGUUGAAGUAAGCCCAACCUCCAUAACAAGUUGGAAUAAAGUGGUUAUAUUUGUCGCGUGUUUAGCCCGGCAUCUGGUUCUACUUACAACAUCAGCUUUUUGUCUUUGUGAAUAACAAAAAUAACUCUGUUACCAGCAAUUCUCCUUUCUGUUCAAAUAAUUUGAAGAAUCACAGUGCUUCUAGGAAACUAGUCCAAACAAUAAUAAAGCAGAGUAUCGUCGAGCUCGCUCGCUAUCAAAACUAUGAUAUGUUUAUUUUAUCGAAACCAUCCACUGAGGACUCUCACCAGUUACUGGAAAUCAGCAUCGCUCGCCUAGCAAUGAGAACGGUUGCACGGGGGGUCGACUGUGGGCACGAUAACUGGUACACCAGAGAUCUGUCCUUCUCAGUCCUCUUGUAUUAGGGAAAGGUCCUCUCAAUGCUCUACCGCCCGCACCGGAUAUGGGCCGAACUGUCUCACGACGUUCUAAACACAGCUCACGUACCACCUUAAUGGGCGAACAAAAUGGACAGUUCAAGCGAUUAUUCCGUGUUUGAUGUGCACAUUUCCGCCUUGAUGUCAAAAAUGGGCCUAACUAAAAAUGGGCUUCAGCUAUGUAUUCUUGUUUUUAUUUUUCUAUUAGUUGAUUAGGAUUAGGCCUAAUUGAGUUCAAUUUGGGCCUUCGUAUGUCACAUAUUGGAUUUGGUGGUGCCUAAAUAACACACUAUUGAUCAAAAUAUAAGUAUAAUUAUGCGCCAGUGCAACCAACCGUCCCUAGAGCAAGUGGCAAAAGGCUUAGUGGUUGAUACUCGAGACUCAAGUUUGAAUCCAAGUUGAUUCACAUUUCUAGCUAAGUUUAUUUCUAAAUGAAAUAAACGAAACGGGUAGCGUGCUAUCUCUCAAAAAAAAUUAUGCUCAAGUGCAACUGCGCUAACUAGAGAUUAAUCUAUUUAGGUAUCCAAAUUAGUAUGUUUAUCUUUGUUGAAUGUAAAAUAUAAAAAAUAUUGUUCUCAAAAAGCUUUCAAUUUUAGAUAAUCAAAGAUUUCAUACUAUUUUAAAGACGAAUUUCAAAUCAUUAUUUUUUAUUAUAAAAAUAUUAUUAAUACGUAACGAACUGGACGACUAACACUAAUAAGUCUAACAUUAAUAACUCGUUAGACUCCAAACCACCAAUCUAAAAUAUUUAAAUACAAUUAUUAUUGUUAAAUUCUUUGCUUCUAAUAUAACCCUUUAUACCGGAUAUAUGAAAUUUUUGGGGCUUUAUAUUCUCUCCAUGCAAGUGUUAUUAUUAUUUUUCUUCACUCAAGAGUGUAAAUUUGAGGCCUCAUUUCAUAUUUCAUAUAUUCGUCAAGCAUCGAAUAAAUCCGUUCUGUUUAGAUUCGAAUUUGGAUAAAAUUUUUAAUAUCUGUACCCAUUGACAUCCUAAUUUCACUGUCCUUGCGGCAACUUCCAAAGUUUAGGAAAUAUACGCUACAAGUGAUUGUUUGUUACUACAUAAUUAAACUCUUUAGUUGACAUUAUUACUGAUUGGAUUCAAAUGCAACUCAUAAAAUAGCUAAACCAACAUUAUUUUUUUAGAAAAGUAAACUUACAAUCAAGUUACUUAGAAAUAUUUGUCUAAGGUAUGGCACAAUGUAUGAAUUAAAAUCCUUUGUAGUCUAAGUUGAGCAACCAUUAGUUUUUUUAUUUUUUGAACUAAAAUGCAGAAGCGUGAGUUGUCGCAUUGACUAUGCGAUUGAAUCUCACAGUUUUUUCACAUUUGAGUCCGAUUUUGACGACAUAACCCGCAAAAUGCACGAUGUCAAGUUCCUGUAACUCACAAGAACAAUAGGGUUACGUUUUGAACAAAACAAGCAUGCACAAAUCCUCCAAAGACAAAAAAAAAAAGAAGAGAUUAUUAUUUAUAUUAGAAGAGUUGCACCCAUUAUUCUUGUUAAUAUUUAGCUGGCGUGAACUCGUAUCGCACGUAUUCAAUAAACAAGCACUGCUACUUAUACACUUUCAAAAAAAGUACACACCUUAUGUCCCUUAUUCAAGAGAAAAUAUAAUCUUUAUACUGUUAUUUUUAAACAAAUAUAUAAUUUUGAAAACUUUGGAAUGAAACAGUGUAAUAUGUACACCCUCAUAUGAAGUGCGCGGAUAGUUUUUUUAAAAAAAGAAAAAAAAAUCCUCCGUAUUUUUUUUACCAUGUCCUUUUCUUUUGAUUCUGUCAAUCUGUAUUUUUUUUUUAUUUAGUCAAUUUUUUUUUUCACAAAUAGUCCUAAUAAAUAUAUAUUUAUAUAAGGCUAAAUUAUAGAAAACUCUCCUGUAAUAAUCCAUUUUUUUACUUUCCCUCCAUGAUAUUUAAAAAACUACAUUUUGCCCUCUUGUAAAAUAAAAAAUAUGCACUUCAUCCCCUACCAUUAGGGUUCCGUUAUAAAAUAUUUUUUUAUUCCGAAAAUACUCAUCCGCCCUCUUCCUUGUUGCUUCGCCUCCUUCCAGCUCGCCGCCUCACCGCCUCGCCGUCCUCCACUGCCUCGCCCUCGCCCACAUCCCCUUCGCCCUCCUCCGCCGCCUCGCUUUCGCCCUCGUUGCCUUUGCCUACCUCUCCAUCAACACCCAUCUCGAUUUCCUCCCUACUAUCAUCGAAAUCGAGAGGUGGUGAGGGUGCAGGAGGAGAAGCGGAGCAGGUGGAGAAGGAAAUGGAGAGAUAUCGCGGCCGAUUGAGGUGGGAAUCGCGGCCGAUCGAAGGGGCGGCUGAGGAAGAUAAGGAAGAAGACGAAAAUGGUGAUGGGCAAAAUGGUCAUUUUACACACCGUAACCUCUCUGUGAACAUUUUUCAUUUUAUAAGGGGACAAAAUGUAGGUUUUUAAAUGUCAUUGAGAGAAAGUAAAAAAACGGGUUAUUACAGGGAGGUUUUCUGUAAUUUAGUUUUUAUAUAAAUAGCUCUUUUCUUGUCACGCAAGAGUUGAAGUGGUAUUUUUAAGUCGAACACGGCGAUUCAAUCACCCUGUUUAAAUAAGAUAUUUUCUUUUAUAUUUUUUUUUGUCCCUAAGUAAAAAAAAAAAAGAGGAUUUGGAGUGUGUAUAUGAAUACGAUGAUUCAAUCACCGCACUCAACUUAAAAAUACAAACGUGACGCUCACGUGGCAAGUAGAGGUCAAAUGUUCAAAUAUAAAUUUGUUAAGGUAAUUUGUAAAAUUUUUAUUUUGGGAGGGGCCUAAAUCCCAAUCAAUUUUGCUCAUCGACACGUGUCCCACACAAUACACGAGAUGUACCAAAUUGGUCCGAUCUGGACAUGCAGCGGAUCCCGGGGGUUCCGGCGGAGAGACUUUUCCCGCCAAAAGCCACCCCUCCUCCCGAAGCGGGCGACAGGCUGGCGACGGCACACGGCAUCUGCUGGCGACUUCACGACUCUCGAGACAAAUCAGAGUGAGGCUGCGAGCACAGAAGGAAAGCUGGCUUGGGUACUUCAAAGUUCAAAAUGGUGUCCUUAUUAACCCUAUAUAAAAAGUCUGUCAGGGAUUGCACGCCUGUAACUAAUUUUAAUUUGAAGAAAAAAAAAAAUUUGUGUGUUUAUUUCAGUCUAUUAAGUUGGAAAAAUAAAAUAAAAUAUUAAUAAUUAAAAAAAUUUAACUUUUGAAUUAUUUACUUUUCGCUAAAUAAAUAAUAAAUGCCAAAAAAAUAGUUCAACAGGUGUAAACAUAAGGGUUAAAUGUAUUCAUGUUCUCGUAAAUAUAGUAAAUUAUAAAUAUAUUCUUAUAAAAUUUAACUUUCAUAUAUUAUUUUUCUCUGAUUUGUUAUCGUUAUAAAACUAUUUAUAUUUUAAGUAAAAUGUCAAUUUUGUCAUCACAAAUAUAUUCCUCAAAAAACUACAAUAGUGUAAUAUAAAAAGAACAAAAAUGUUAAAUUAUCUCAUAAAUUAACGAGAGUUAAAAAUUUAACUUAUGGUUAAUUAAAAUUUUUUAAUAAAUUCUAAUGGUGGGGAUAUAUUUGAAGAUAUUGGGAUUUUUAUAGGACCAACAUAUGAAGGUUCAAUUUUGUAGAGAUAUAUUUGUAGUUCACUAUAUUUAUAGGGACUUAUAAGAAAUUAAUUCUAAAAAUAAAUUAUAUUAUUUUACUGCAAAUACAGAGACAAAGAUUUUUUUUUUUCAAUAAGUGCCUAUUUUCUGUUGUUUUGUUUACAACGAACUAUAUUUAAUUGAACUCAAUUUUUUUUAAAAAAAAAAUUGUAAUUGGCUUCACUCUGGCUAAUGACAAUUGCAUGCAAGUGUAGAACUUUUUUUGAUGAAGUAACAAAGAAAAGUAAAUAAACUUUAAUUUUAAAGUCUCACUGCUAUUUAAUUGAACUCAAUUUUUUUUAAAAAAAAAAUUGUAAUUGGCUUCACUCUGGCUAAUGACAAUUGCAUGCAAGUGUAGAACUUUUUUUGAUGAAGUAACAAAGAAAAGUAAAUAAACUUUAAUUUUAAAGUCCUUAUCUUUUUUUAUCAAAUAAAUAGCAGUGAGAAUAUUAUUACUAUUUAAAUUUUAGCUUAACUAUGACUGUUUGUUCAACCAAAUGUGAAGCUCGUGUUGAAAUAGGCAUUUGAGUGAACUUAAUAUAAAAAUAAUUACUAUAAUCUUAAAGGCUUAAGCUAUAAUAAAAUAAUAUUUUAAUAUUUCAUAUUCAAUAUAUCUCCUAAUUAUAGAUUCAAAAUUUUUCAAUAGACUUAAGAACACGUAAAACACACAUUAACCAGCAAGUAAAAAAAGAUUAUUGACAUUACAUAUUGAUUGAUUAAAAUUUCUAUUAGAUGCAAUUCUAAAUAGAGUGUUUGCAUUUAUUAAUAUGAGUCUAAACGUUAUAAUUAAAAUUAGGAGUAAUUGCUUAUAUAUUCUGAAAAGUUCUUGAUUUUUUGAUUUAUCUCAUUUUAGAAGGCUAAUAAAAUUUCAUGACACCAACUUGAUACUCUUUAAAAUAUAUGGUACUAGAGUGAGAAAGUACGAAAUUACUAGGAUGAUAUUUGAAUUUAUUCAAAAAAAAAAAGGCCAUCUUUCACACCAUCAAAGAGACGCAAUGGACCAGUCAAAGUUGUAGCCACAUUAAUAAAAACAAUAUUGUUAUAAUGAUUGUAAUUUUAACUGUAUAUAUCUUAAUUUUAUCAAUUAUUUGUUUAGGGCUUGUUCGUUUCAAUGUAAAAAAGCUACGAAAAACAAAAAAUUUGGGGCCGAAAAUAUUUUUUCCAGUGUUUAAUUUGGUGUAAAAUAGUUUUGGGCCAAACAUUAUUUUACGAUUUCUUAAAAAAAAGGGCUUUUUGUUUUCCGCCUCAAAUCUGCAGAAAACGAAAACUGAGACGGAAAAAUUGCAGCUCACACGUGUUAAGAGCAUCACGGUCCACGAGCUCUCACAUAAGGUCAUGGACCAUGUGAGUGGUCCACAUUGGACCAUUUACCUACACCCUCUCUCUCAUAUAUAUAUAUAUAUAUAUAUAUAUAUAUAUAUAUAUAUAUAGAGUAGGGCUAGAAUACUUUUACAAGUAUCACCCAAGUAAUACUUGUGUGUUUUUAGCCCUUGGAUGGAGAGAUGUGAGGUUGAGAUGAUAGUGGUAGGUGGUGGUAGGUGGAAUAGUGUUUGAUCCAAGAGCUAUUUGUAAUUAAAAAGUAGAUCCAAUGGUUAAAAACGUGAUAGCAACAUGGGGAUGAUACUUGUAAAAGUAUCCUAGAUCAACUCUAUAUAUAUAUAUAUAUAUAUAUAUAUAUAGUUGAGCUAGAAUACUAUCGAUAGUAAACGAGCCGUUUUACUACCGAUUUGUUUUCGAUGAUAGAGCUUCCAAAUUGACGAUCGGCUUCGUUAAAUAUGAUCUAAACUAUUUAAACUAUCUAGAAAUCAAAUUUCACGUACUUUCGAUAUUGUUCUUUUAUUCAUCAAGUGAACAGAAAAAUAAACGGCUAAAAAUGAAUAUUCUUUAAAAAAUAAUGAUAGGAGUCUUGUAAUCAAGAUCAAGAGUAUAAAUCUUGUUUUAAAUAGUUUAAAGAAUUUUCUAACAAAAAUUCAAUUGAUUUAGAUAUCUUUACGCCGUUAAACGAGAAAACGUCUCUUAUCGACCAUUAAAAUUACAAAUUUUAAAACCCAUUGAUCAUUAGGCAAAUGAAAUUUAAUUUCUAAAUACUUCAAGUGGUAUAGGUCAUGUUCAACGGAGCCGAUCGUCAAUUUUGAAGCUCUAUCAUCGAAAACAAAUAGGUAGUAAAACGGCUCGUUUACUACUGAUAGUAUUCUAGCUCAACUCUCUCUAUAUAUAUAUAGAGAGAGAGAGAGAGAGAGAGAGAGAGAGAGAGAGAGAGAGAGAGAGAGAGUGAGAGUUGUGCUGGUAUGCUUAUGGAAACACGGAGGCCUCCGUGCUUUCAAGUCGUUUUCGAUGUUCGGAUUUUUGAAUCGACGAUCGGCUCCGUUAGAGUUGAUCUAGAGUAUUUAAAGUACCUAGAAAAUAAAUUUUGCGAUUUUUCGAUAUCAUUUACCUAGUGAUCGAAGGAGCUCAAAAUUAAUAAUUUUAACGGCCAUGGUGAGCCGGUUGCAAGUUUAACGGUGUAGAAAUAUCCAAAUUAUAUGAAAUUUUGAUAGAAAAAUUUUUAUACCAUAUAAAACAAGAUCAAUAACUUUGAUCUAAAAUUUUGAUGUCAUAUCAUCAUAUUUUGUAAGAUUUUUAUUUUCGGCAGUUGAUUUUGAGUCACUUCAAUCAAUAGGCAAAUGAUAUCGAAAAAUCACAAAAUUUAUUUUCUAGAUACUUCAAAUACUCUAGAUCAAGUCUAACGGAGCGGAUCGUCGAUUCGAAAGUCCGAACAUCAAAAACAAAAUGGAAGCACGGAGCCCUCCGUGCUUUCAUAAGCAUCCUAGCCGCACUCUGUGUGUGUGUGUAUAAGAGGGUGAAAAUUUAUUAUACAUCUUUUAUAUUUUUAUUAAUUUAAAUUAUAUAUUUUUAUAUAGUAUUAUAUGCAAACUAUUUAUCAUAUUAUAUUAAAUAUUUAUCAAUUUGUCAUAUUAUAUGAUUGUGAUAUAUUUAAUUCAUAAAUAUAAAUUAUAAUAAUAUAUAUAUAGCCUAAUAAUUAUUAUAAAUUAUAAAUAAAUAAUAUAUAGAAUACAUAAUAAAAAAAGUUUUACUUUUUCCUUUCAAUCACUAAACCAAACAAUUGUAACUAAAAAUUAAUUUUCUUUUCCUACAAAUCAAACACUAAAAAUCGUAAAAUAAAUUUUUCACAAAAAAUCUUUUUCUAUCGAAAUUUUGUUUUUUCUAAUUUUAUGUAGAACCAAAUAGCCCUUUAGCAUAAUCAGGAGACAAGUAUGAAUCAAAUUUAAAACUUUUUCUUUAAUAUAUUUCAAAAAAUAAUCAAUUUUUUUAAAACAAGUAAAAUUACUCAAAAUAAUAUUUUAAUAUUUUAUAUUUAUUAAUAUAUAUAAUAGUAAUAAUAAUUUUAGAUUGCAUGAAUGGAGGAAUUAAAAACCUUAAUAUGCAUUUUGUAUCUUAAAGCAUUCAGUGUGUCGGCGACGCCGCAGCCGCACAUCUUCCCCCAGUCGGGGCCUCCGAUGCGCUCCACGUGGCGAGCUCUGGGCGUCCGGCCUCAGCGUGCGAGCCUAUGCUGUGGCGCCCAACGUGGCUCCCACUCGCGACACGUCGACGACGCCGGCCUCGCCUCCCAGGGGCAAAUCCGUCAUUUCGCGCUACAGCUCUAACUAAUUUUUGAAAAGAAACGGAUGCGCAUUUGACAUAAUCCGCAAACAAAAAAAUUUAAAAAAUGUUACAAAAAUAUUACAUAAAAUUGUUUCUUUUUUUUAGUUAUUAUUAAUAUUGUUAUUAUUAUUUCUAAAAGAGGAUAAUUCGCUUGUAUAUUCGAUAACUUGAGGGGAGGCUAGGAGGGCCAGCUGGGCAUUUGCUCGUGGCCCUUCAUCUCCCAUUUUUUUUUUUUUUUUUAAAGAAAAAACCAUUUAUGAAGUUUCUUUGUUAUGAUUAAUGUUUUAAACAAGUAAUUACUGUAGAUAAUUAAGAUUAAUGUUGGGUCGAUGCUGUUCAGAAGAGCGUAAAUAUUUGGGAAAUAAAAAGCAUUUGGAUCCGAAGAAGUUAUUAGUAGACGUUUCCGUUGCUACCGCUUCCGCUUCUCUCUUCCUCGCCGCUUCUCUUCAACGAGAGAGAGAGAGAGAGAGAGAGAGAGAGAGAGAGAGUUGUUAAUAGUAAAGAGGAGGAGGAGGAGAGGAGGAGGGUUGGGUGAGGUUACCGCGUGGAUUCGUCGCCUCCUCUCUCUCUCUCUCUCUUUCUCCUAUGGAUUCGCGCUGGGCUGGCGCUUGACUCAGCUUUUCCUUAUGGGCGAUUGCGUCGCGUCAAAGGGAUCCCAUCUCUGAAACCCUAGCCCUCGCUCUUCGGAGAUCCCCCCGAUUCCCCCUCCCUCUGCAUUAGGGCGGUGGUGAGGGGGGGGGGGAAGCGCCCCGACGCGCCCCGGAGUUCCGCAAUGCGGCGGAGUGCGGCGGAGGAUCGGGCGGGGACGGCGGGGGGGUGUGCGACGAGUCGCUGGUGCACAUAGCGAUAACGCUGGACGAGGAGUACCUCCGCGGGUCGGUGGCGGCGGUGCACUCCGUGCUCCGGUACGCGCGGUGCCCCGAGGACGUGUUCUUCCACUUCCUGGUGGCCUCCGACCCGGCGCGGCUCGAGGCCCUGGUCCGCUCCGCGUUCCCGCGGCUCCGCUGCAAGCUCUACUUCUUCGACCCGGAGCGCGUGCGGUCCCUGAUCUCGAGCUCGGUGCGGCAGGCCCUGGAGCAGCCCCUGAACUACGCCCGCAACUACCUCCCCGACCUCCUCGAGCCCUGCGUGCGCCGCGUCGUCUACCUCGACUCCGACCUCGUCCUCGUCGACGACGUCGCCAAGCUCUGGCGCACCGACCUCGCCGGCCGUGCCGUGGGCGCCCCCGAGUACUGCCGCGCCAACUUCACCAAGUACUUCACCCCGCGCUUCUGGUCCGACCCCUCCCUCGCCUCCACCUUCUCCUCCUCCCCCCACCCCCACCGCAGGGGCCCCUCCUGCUACUUCAACACGGGGGUGAUGGUGCUCGACCUCGACCGGUGGCGGCGGCGCGGCUACACCCGCCGCAUCGAGCGGUGGAUGGAGGUGCAGAAGCGGCGGCGCAUCUACGAGCUGGGGUCGCUGCCGCCCUUCCUGCUGGUGUUCGCGGGGCGCGUCGCCCCCAUCGACCACCGCUGGAACCAGCACGGCCUCGGCGGCGACAACGUCCUCGGCAGCUGCCGCGACCUCCAUGCCGGCCCCGUCAGCCUCCUCCACUGGAGCGGCAGCGGCAAGCCCUGGGCCCGCAUCGACGCCCUCCGCCCCUGCCCCCUCGACUCCCUCUGGUCCCCCUUCGAUCUCUACCUCCACUCCGCCCCUUCCCCCUCCCCCCUCCUCCUCCUCCUCCUCACCGCCUAUUCCCGGUAACCCCUCCUUCCUUUCUUUUUCAUUUUGUUUUUUAUUUCUUGAAAAAUUAUUUUGUUGGGUCUUUUUUUCUUUUUCUUUUUAUUUUCAUCUCUCUCUCUCUCGUAAUUUUCCAUAAUAUUCCUGGUGCUUCGAUUUGUUCUGUUUUGUUCUGUUCUGUUCUGUUCUGCUCUGUUUUAGACGCUCUUCUCUGUUUUGGUGGUGGUGGUGCUGCUGUGCCUUGUUUUAGUUCUUAAAAAUUCUUAUGGGGCGAUUUGUAUCUUAUUCUAAUUGUUGUUGCCUCCGCAAAUAAAAAAGAAAAAGGGGAACGGAUAUAAAUAUAUUCACAUUUGUUCACAUAUUCGUAUGUCCAGUUGUGGAUUUUAUAGAUUAAUCAUUAGAUAAUAAUAGAUUUCUGUGACGUUCUCGGAACGGGCACGCGGCGGUUUCCAUCCCGCUCGGAUUUUUUUUGUUUGUUCUUCAUUGUUUCUUGUAUUGCAAUCUUCAUAGCAUCCCAAUCUGUAUAGGCAUAUAGAGAGAGAUAGAUAGCACUAAAGCCCCAGCACGAUUCUUAAAGCAGCCACCACUUCAAAAGGGUGGAGGAGGAGAGGGGCCUCCUCCUUUUUGGUGGGUCUAAUCGAUGUAUUUGAGAGAUAAGGUUAAAUAUUUACAAGAUUAUAACUUUUUUUUUUCCCAUCAAUGUAGUUAAAUCUUAUAUCUUUAUCAAGCAUGGUGUGUCUUGGUGUAGGAUAACUAUGUGGAUGGGAGGGGGUUGGUGAUGGUGGGGAUGUGUGUGUAGGUGUUAGAGGUGCGGUGGCUUCGGUGGCAGCAAAUAACACACACUGGACUUGUGAGCUACUGCCCAAAAUUGUCUCCCUUUUAGCUCUUUCAUGUUGUGCCUCCUUUCUUUGGACCACCUCUCCCCUUCUAUUCUUUUCUUCUGUUUGAGCACAAAUGCGUCGUCUUUUAGCUCCUUAAGUUAUUACAGUAGUCGGUUAUUUCACAUAAUAUCAGAUAGCAUAUGUGGCCAUUUUUUAGCUUUAUUUAGUUUUCUAUCUUUUAGUUUAAGUUCAUAUCCUGGGCCUAUUAAGUAUUAAAAAAGUGUCAAGACCAGAUUGGAAGGAAAAACGGAGUAUAUUUUCAGAGCAAUCCUUUACUUCGUAAAGGUGUCACAUUAAUUUUAUUUAUUAUUAUACUUUAAUCACUUUCAGCAUUACCUUUUACAUCAUAUCUAUCUAUCCCUUUCCGGCAAUUUACCUUUUCUAAUUUUAAAUCAAUUUACGAGUGUUACUUUUCUUAACAUUGUUAGUCUAAAGAGCUCUUAAGAAUCCGAGCAAAUGGCAAUAAGCUACGCGCUCCGCAUGUGUCCAUUUCCGCCUUGAUUUGGCUUUUCUCGGGUAGAUGGUAGCACGAUGAUGACGGCACAUCCGAAUAGGGCUUUAAGUUUAAGUUAGCAGUUUACACGCAGCUUUCUAUUACACCAUCACAAGCAUAUUAUGACAAAGAGGGUGGUGGUUGGGUCCUUUUUAUAUGUAUAGUUUCAUUAGGUCUAGGUGCCUUAAACCGUAGUCUUAAACUCACCAAAUUCCGGAGCUUUACUAGGUCAAAUCUUUUAAUUUUCUUUGGUUUUGAGUACAGAAGCUGGGUAGGAUUUAUGAUAAGCCCGAGUGUUUGUAUUGAAUGCUUCAAGUGUUGUUGGGGGGGUGUUUGGUAAGUUUCUUUAUGAACUGUAGCCCUGUGAUAAUUUCUUGGAUCUCUCUGGAACUUACAAUGUACUCUGUAAGUGUCAUAACCUUUGAUUUUUUUUUUUUUGGUUUCUGUGGGUAGUGAAGUGUCGUAUGGUUAAAGCUUUUUCUUGUGCUGUGGUCCUCAUAGAUGAGGGCCCCAUAAGCUGAUGUGGGCAUUUUCGUGGUCUUUUUCCGGAACUAUCAUUUUCCCCCCAUCCACCUCAUUAUCUAGAAGCUUUAUUAGAAGCUAAUUUGGAGUAGCCCAUAAACUUAGAGCCUCUUUGGGUAGAGCUAUUAGAAAAAGCCCGCAAAUACCAGCUUCUUGCUGAAGCAGAAACAGAAGUUCUGAAUAGGAGGUUCCAGCUUUUGUUCUCCAAGCAUUAAGCUUUUCGUUAGAGACAAGCUUCUAACUUCAUUAUUUUCAUAAGUACUCGAUGGUUGCUUUUAGCAUUAGAAGUGCUUCGCAUCGCAAGCUAGGGCAAAAUGUCAUUUUAAGAACCAUCAGAGGAUAGUGAUGUGGCGGAAAAGCCGUGUGACGAUAUAAUGUUGAAAUGAAGAGAUUGAUUGCGUCGAAGUUUUGUUCUUGCGGUAGCAAUCGAACAGUAAUAUUGAAGCGGCGAGUUUUCAAAAAAUUGGCGGUGGUUUAAGGGCUGUGUCUUUUCCGUCGGAAAAAGACAUUUCCCCGUUAAUGAGUUGUUGUAGCUCACCAUAUAGAUUUAGUUGGUCCUGGUUCUUGUUUGUACUAUAGCAGCAAAUGAGUAUAUAGCCGUUAUAGAUAGCACCGAGCGCAAAACUUUUGUUGAUAAUCCCAAUAUUAUCGAGGGACACCUAUGGUGACCGUUGCAAAGUGUUUUGAAUAAUGUCCUUUUCCUUAGAUAAAUUGUAGUGUUGGUUCUAUACUUUUCGUCAAGUUUUACUUUAGUCCUCAUAAAUAAAUAGACACUCGCAGCCCCCGCAAAACGCGGGGAACGCACCGUACAAACUCUCGAUUCAAGAGUUAUAUAGAUUUGGCAGUGUUUUUUGUUUUUUUUUUUGUAAUACUUGCCUUGCGGCUGUUCGUUGGACUCUUCAUCCAUGUCUUAUUUUUAAUUUAACUAUUUGAUUUUUAACUAAAAGUGAAACACUUUAAAUUUCUGAGAGCUCACUGUGGAACUUAAGAAGCUCAAGAACUAAAACAAAAAUGGGCUAAGAACUGGAGACUAGUGGUGCUAUAUAUUUAGUUAGCUAAUUUAUAUUUUUUUUUAGUCAACACUUUUGGUUGUGAAUGGACAUGGUAGUCACAUCGGUGUGCGAAAGAGCAACUUUGACAUAUCAUGUGUAAUAAAAUUGGCAAAAAUUUAUAGAACUACGAAAAUAUGGAUCAUUUUGAUUUAAUUACUCAAUCUUUCAAAUUUUAAAUUUUACUAUCUAAUUUUGCCGUUUGUUUGAUUUAAAUCAGUCAAAGACAUUUCGAUUUUAAAUUUUAUGCUAAUUAAUUACUUUAUAUAAUCCUAUCAAUUAUAAAUUUAUUGAAGUAAUAAAUUUAAAUUGAAGUAAUAAGGUUAAACAACAGACGUCCCUGUGGGGGAAUCUUCGCCCUAUGGAGAAACACUGAUUUUUUUUUUUUUAUCUAGUUUUUUUUUUUUUUUUUUUUCCGUCUUUGUCCGGCUUUUCAUCUCUUUAGAGGUAUUGUUGCCUCACCCAUGUAGCUAAGUUCAUAUCUUGAAUGAAUGAAACGGGUAGCGUGCUACCUUUUUUUCAAAAAAAGAAAAAAGUUUAAAUUUUGAAGUUGAAGUGCCGUAGAUUGGUUCAAAUUAAAUAUGUUGGAAAAUUAAUAAGUAAAAUUAAAAUUUUGAAAGAUUAGAUAGACGAUUCAAAAAUGAUACGUAGUAGUUUAGAUAGAUUUUAUACAUUUUUAUUAGUGAAGUACAAUGUAGUGUUAGACUACACUGAUGCAUUGAAGUUGAUUUGAUCAAAUCUACCACCUAAACAUUGAUUUGGUGUAGGAAUAAAAUGACUUUGAAUUAUAUUAACUAGUUGAAAUGUAAUAUAUGCUGAAUCUGAUGAAUAGUUUAGUUCAAUUCGAUGUAUUUUUUUGUAGUUAAAGGAUAGUAAAUUUGAGAUUGAGAUUCACCCCGUAAUUACCCUGAAUUAUUAUAGCAAUUGUGGCAGAGCAAAGCACCUAUAGUAGAUCUCUGGAAUGGUAUGAAUGGUACAAGGAGAGGAGAGAAUCCACAAAAAAGGAUGCAGUUGCUCACAACAUCAUUAAUAGUGCCAAAAAUUAACAAACCUCCACUAUAUAUUUAGGAGAAAGAUGAACUCAGGCAAAUUUAAGCUGUACCUUUUAAAACACACAGGCAUGUACCAUGCAUGCCACCUCAUAUAGGAAUCUAACUAAAGGUCACACACACACACACUCUCUCUCUCUCUCUCUCUCUCUCUCUCUCUCUCAUAUGAUGUGAUUAGCAUUUGUGGCAUCAUCCUUGCAGAAUCCUAAGAGGGAAGAUGCUAAAUUUAGAAGGGAAUGUACUAAAUUUUCUGCAUGUUUAGUCUUGCUCUUGUUUCCAGACUCAUCAAUUUUAAAUUUUUUGCUAUGGUUGGAAAUAGAAAUAAGAUUCUAAGGACCAAAAUUGAAAGUUUCCACUUACAGUUUUCCUUGUACUGUAGUGAGAAGUUAUGUGCUUGUUUUUUUUAGUAAUUUAAUGGCAUGAUAGCGUACAACAACACUGUAUCUGGACUCUUUCAAGGCGGUAACACUGUUCAGGGAAAAAGUGCUAGGGUCCUCUUUAUUUUUUUACUGGUUUUCAUAAAAAUUAAUAAAAAAUAUAUAUUUUUUGUUUUGUUUUUUUUUUUUUACUAUACAUACCUUACUUUUUCUUCUGUAAUCCUAUAUAUAAUAUAAAAUAUCAUAGGUGAUGUGUGAGUGUAGCUGUUGUAUUCAUACCGUACAUCUCUUAAUUCAAUAGCUAAAAAUUUGGUAGCACCAAUGACUUGGAGCCAUUAAUAAUAUAUUAGUCUAGUUAUAUAUACGUUAUUUGGUCACUGUUUAUGUGUGUGCGAUUGUUUGUUUGUUUGUUCUUCACUAAAGGGAACUUUAUUUAUUCACUCUUUAAGACUUCGUUGUGUUAAAAUGUAACGGUGAAAUCGCAUCCGUGGAGUGCACGAGAACAGGGUACUUUUUCGGUACACCUAAGGGAAGUUUAAAGUAAACCCGUGGUUAAUCCAAACAACGACUACGAAGAAAUAGAGAAACAUCGGAGGUUUUCAUCCUCUUUUUCCUUUUAAGUGACUCUUUACUUCUUUGUUUUAUUAUUAUUAUUAAUAACAAUAGAGGUAUCUAGGUUACUUAACUUAGUUUGUUGUGUUUCGUAAUGAAAACUCCGUACCUCUUUUGUACAAACGAACUAGCUACUCCAGAUCACUGACAACCAUCCACGUACGCAAGCUAAUAUUCACCGAUUACUGUGGUCGUAUACGUACUAUCAUCAUAGCUGUUUUCCUCAUCAACUACUUUCGUUUCAAAUUAGCAAACGUGGACCACGAGGUACAGUGAGUACGUAGAGAGUCACUACUUGGGAGGUAAUGAGAAAAAAAAAGAAAAAAGAAAAAAAAAAAACUCUCUAUCCAUCGUGAGAUGGACAAAGCAAAUAAAGUAAAUCUUUAUUUGAAUCGACCUUUACACUUAGUUCAUCCUAAGUUUGAACCCAGAGCCUAUGGUUGAUGGUUCCGGAAACGGUGAACGAGAUCUCUGCCAACCAUACUUGGGAGGUAAUGACAAUUUUAUAUAUAGCUCAAACUUAGAGUCAUGAAAUAACAAAGUAACUUCAUGUUCGAGGUAAAGAAACUUCAAGUGUUGGACCCACAUUACCUGGAUUACCACGGAACUCGGGCUCGUUCCCCUUCUUGAGAGAUUAUAUUGUACGAUUUAUUAUAAAAAGACUGUCGAAUAAGAAAAUCUCCUUUUUAUAUUAAUAAAAUGUUAAUAGCGUUGCAACCAAGAUUUUAAUAUAUAUAUAAAUCUAUGAACUAACUUGAAAAUUCUAUCCCACUUACUAGUACUAGAGAGAGAGAGAGAGAGAGAUCGUCACCCGCGUCCAAGUUAUUUGGUCCUGUAUAUACAUGCUGCACCCGGAUUUUAACGUACGUACUCGAGAUUUUAAGCACCUACAUUAACUCUGUCUCGAAGUGUUUCCUCCUUUGUGUAACCAUCAUGAAACGUUUUCUCAGGUUAGUUUUUAACCUCCUCAGGAGGGAGUAAUUUUCUACUCUUCUCCCCUCACUUUUGAGCUUUUUUUCUUUUUUUUUUUUUUUCCUCUUUUUUGACUCGGACAGGUGGAAAAACAAGGGAUACUACCUGUAUCGGUUUACAGGUGAGAGGUGUAGAGAGAAACAGGGACAAUAGGAGAGACGAUAGGUAUUAUGUACUCGGUAAGGUGAGAUUAGGCAUGGAGUAAGUAAUAACGAUACAUGAGCACAAUAGGAGUAACGGGGCUUUCGCUUUUUUAUAAAUUUUUUUUCCGGUUGAACGUAUUUUUUAAAUAAUCAAAACUCGAAUACAUUUUCUUUCUACAGUAAAAUUUAAAAUAUCUAAGCCUAGUGUAAAAGUUUUUUGACUAAUUUUAAUAAAAAAAAAGGGAGGAGAAAAAAAAAAGAGAGUAAGAAAAAAAAAAGAAAGACAGGCUUCUCUCACCGCUUCCGCUUCCGCCUCCGCCUGGCAGAGCGGAGGUAGGGGUGUGGGACUAGGAGCGGGCGCGUAGGAGGGAGGUGGAAGGAAUGAAGACUGGGGCAGCUCCAGGGCGUAGCUGGAAGAAGACUGGAGCGGCUCCGCUCCUUCCACCUCCCUCCUACGCGCCCGCUCCUAGUCCCACACCCCUACCUCCGCUCUGCCAGGCGGAGGCGGAAGCGGAAGCGGUGAGAGAAGCCUGUCUUUCUUUUUUUUUUCUUACUCUCUUUUUUUUUUCUCCUCCCUUUUUUUUUAUUAAAAUUAGUCAAAAAACUUUUACACUAGGCUUAGAUAUUUUAAAUUUUACUGUAGAAAGAAAAUGUAUUCGAGUUUUGAUUAUUUAAAAAAUACGUUUAACCGGUUUUUCUUUUUUUUUUAUUUCUUCUUCCGUUUUUUUUCCUUCUGUACAUUACUCAACUGUAAAAGAGAAAACUUUUCGAACAAGGAAAAAGGAGCUUUCUAUUAUACACUGAGGUAGAGUGCGUGUUAUGAAACUACACACUAUAUAUAUAAACCUAAACUAAAAGAUACAUACUCAACCCAUCUUAUAAUCUAAUGAACAAUCACCCAAAAGAAAAACUCUUAUACACAGCUGUCGGCCUUUGGCCUCUUCUGGACUCUGUUCUGUCUCGCCUAAUCAUCGUAGACAAUUAAUGAAUUCUUGUUUUAGCUUUAAUUAAUAUCGAGAUUAUUUAUAAUUGUAUAAAAUUACGACCAAACCCGCUCUUGCUGAAUAGACUAUUAGUUUUUCACACACACACACACACACACAUCUAUUACGAAGUAUAUCACUUCUCUUUUAUGAACCUUAUUAUACAAACGUGCAUAAAUAUAUUAAGAAAAAAUUGGUUGUUUUACACUUUUAACGAUCUUUAAACUACAGUAGCUGGGUUUCUUAUACCAAGAACAGGUGAGAUAUUCACGUCGUUGAUAACUUCCGGUGUUAAACUAAUUACGCGACAUAUACAUUCAGUUAAUGAUCGAGCCUGUGUUAUUAAUUACAUAGUUGAAAAGAAACAUGUACGACCAAGAAAAUAACAAAUUAAACCACCGAAGAAGUUGGUUUGUAUAUACGUAAUCUUUAAAUUCAUUUACGCUGAUGCGUAGGUUUUACCGUUUGGCAGGAAAAUAAUUCCUGGAUUGCACAGAAAAGAGAAGGAAAUAGAUGAAAAAAAACCUAACGCUGAAAGUAUUUGAUGAAUGAGAUAAAGAUUAAGCUAUUGUUUAAAUGAAAAUUAAUCAUCUCACUUUGAAAACUACAACCAAUUAAGUUGAUAUAUAUAUAUAUCGAACUACUACCCGAUAUGUGUUAUAUACCUCCUAUUAAUAAAAGAAUCUUUAUAUAUCCGGUAUUGGUAUCUGGGUUUAAGACCCCGAGAUGAACCAUUCCAAGCCCACUUUAAGUUUUUUAAGUUUUUAUUUUUUUUUAUUUUUAAGUCACAAUAUAUGCCUAUCAUUUAAUACUUGUAUUUUGUAAUUAAUUUGUAUAUACUUUCUUAUUCGAGAGAAACAUGGAAUAAAAUAUAUCCAAUAAUUUUGUAUUACUUGUCAAAUAAACCGUUAUGUUCUACAUAUUUUAUAAAUUAAAUCAAUCAUUUAAUAAAUAAUUAUAAUCAUACUUAUAUUACCGUACGUGGGGUACUACUACACAAUCGUAAAGGUGGAAACUUUUUAGGUGGAACUUUUAAGAUGUAUUUGAUUGCCAGUGAUAACCAGUAGUGAUCGAAGUGCCCUCCUUUAUCUAAUGCAUAGUGUAACCGUAAGUACGUCCGUUUUUAUUCUAUUAUAAGGAUUCAAAUAUAUAUAUAUAUAUAUAUAUAUAUCUCAACUCGAUACUAUGAAAAUGUUCAUAGUGGUAGUACCACGAUAAUCCAAAAUUCGGUAACCUAGAUGAAAAACUAAUAAUUAUCGGGAACCUAAUUUGUAAUAAGGUGGAUGGUGGUGGAUGGUGGUAGUAGAGUUGGAGUGUAGAGAGGUAGGUUUCCGAUUUUUGUGUGUUCAUAGUGGGGGUACUACGAAAAUGUUCAUAAGAUCGGGAUGAGAUAUAUAUAUAUAUAUAUAUAUNUGCGUUCUUAUAGCACGGAAGCGUCCGUACGGACUUUUUUUUUUAAGGAAAAACUUCAAAUACUCCCUGUAGUUUCGUACGUUUUCACUUUAGUAUCCUGUGAUUUAAAAUAGAGUUGAGCUAGAAUACUAUCGGUAGUAAACGAACCGUUUUACUACCGAUUUGUUUUCGAUGAUAGAGCUUCCAAAUUGACGAUCGGCUCUGCUAAAUAUUAUCUAAAUCAUUUAAACUACCUAGAAAUCAAAUUUCACGCACUUUUGAUAUUAUUCUUUUAUCCAUCAAGUGAAUAGAAAAAUGAAUGAUUGAAAAUAAAUACUCUUAAAAAAAUGAUGAUAGGAGUCUUGUAAUCAAGAUCAAGAGUAUAAAUUUUGUUUUAAAUAGUUUAAAGAAUUUUCUAAUAAAAAUUCAAUUGAUUUGUAUAUUUUUACGCCUUAAACGAGAAAACGCCUCUUAUCGACCAUUAAAAUUACAAAUUUUAAAACACUUUGAUCAUUAGGCAAAUGAUGUCGAAAAGAUUUGAAAUUUAAUUUCUAAACACUUCAAGUGGUAUAGAUCAUGUUCAACGGAGUCGAUCGUCAAUUUGGAAACUCUAUCAUCGAAAAUAAAUCGGUAGUAAAAUGGCUUAUUUACUACCGAUAGUAUUCUAGCUCAACUCUCUCUCUCUCUCUUUUUAUAUAUAUAU